UCUAAGCAGACAUAAGUAGAAAGAAAUACGAGAAUGAGAAAUGCUAACAUACUAUCAUGCCUCAACAAUAUGAUAUGAAUAAAGUAACCAUUAUGCUCAUGAUGCAUGCCAUUCAUAUGCUUGUAACCCAAUCACACUGGCUAACCCGAAGGUUGAGCCCAACUUACAACCAAUCCCACAGGUAAGGAGACACCCAGCUACGCUCACCCGAGACCAUCUGCUCGGUACAUACAUUAACCCAAAAUGUGACAACUCCGGAGCCCACUGCUUGGGUGGAGUGACCACCACCAAGCCGACAGAUGCUAUGUGAGUACAAUCCAAUCCUCCAACUAGAGGAUACCCUACUAACUAGGGGCAACAAUACUCGGGGAUCUAUCCAUCCCUAACAACUAAUGUCAUUUGUGUUAUCACAUCACUAAUCCAAAUGCCAUCAUUCCAUGUCACAAUGUUGUCUAAUUCACAUUUCGUUUAUGGCACUAUAGAGAUUCCAUUGUUUAAGACCCGAUCCUUAUGCAUAUACAUCUAUGUCUAUUUCAUAUUUUUCUAUACUUAUCAUGAGAGCAUACAAGGAAUGAGUGCAUGACAUACAUUACUCUACAAUGCAUGAGUUUAUAUAUAUACAUACAUGGCCAACAAAUUUAACAUAGACAUAGGGAGAAGUCUGAUUGUUUCGCAUAGCACCACCUACCUCAGUUCGAUGCUACGAGGUGAGAAACGAAGUCUCGCGAUUUUCCGACAUCGUUUUGGCUCGACCCAAGGGUAACGAACAAAAAAUAGUGGUUUUCUCCAACGGUAUGUCGUAGGCUCGUAGGAACUUUGUUUUGAGCCUCCCUACGCGUCGAUUUAUCCUUCAAUUAAGGAAUUAAGGGAUCAAUUUCAUUUUAAACCCCCUAUCUAUGAAAACCCUAAUUUCAACCCUAGGGUUUCCCCAAACAUGGUCAAGAACCAUUUACCAUGAGAAACCAUAGAUCAUUCUGGGUUUCUAAACCACAAGAACCCUAAAAACAUGAAUUCUAGGUCAAUCAAGGUAAACCCUAGGUUAAACUUGCUAACCCUUACCUUGGUCACUUCUAGACCUCAAGCUCCACCUUGUAGGACAGCCUCUUCCACUCCAGCAAGCUCCAAAAUCCUUCCAAAUCCCUCAAAUCCAUCUUGUUGGAGAGUUCCAAGAGAGAGAAGAAGAGGGAGAUGUGAAGAGAGGAAGAAAAGGGGUGUUCUCAGCUUGUGGAGAAGAGAGAAGGGUGUGGGGGGGCUAUUUAUAAGUUCCCACAAUUGCAAAUAGGCCCUUCAACAAUUUACAUUUACAACCCUUCACAAUCUGCACAUUUUUACACUAGGUACCAGUACUCGAGCUUGAGUACCGGUACCCCCGGGUGGACAUCUCAACCCGAGAGCAGCCUUUCUGCGUAGGCCAUUAGGUACCGGUACGCGGCCAGCAGUAUCGGUACUCGGGCUUCGCAGUACCGGUACCACCAACCGGGUACCUCAACCCGAACAUUGGCCAAUUCUGCUUCCUAUAGGGUACCAGUGGUACCCGACAUCUAGUACCGGUACCAACCUCCCCCAGUACCGAUACUGACUCAAUUCGGUAUCGGUACACAGGGCCCCAAAUUCAAACCCGAGAGCAGACUUUCUCUACAUCUAUAUCAGGUACCGGCACCAAGUUUCAAUACCGGUACACAGUACCCAGACUGCAGUUUUUCAAGGUUUUGAGUUUGUUUUUGCGUCGGAAAAUGCUAAAACCACUCAAACACUAUCUGGGGUCCCUUUUAACAAAUCCAAAGCCCUCGAGACCAGAUAUAGAACAUGUCCUAUGGCUCACUUUACCACACUUUGAUCCAUUUGAUUAAGGUUGGUACGACACUCCAGGGAGCCAAUACCUUACACAGCCCGGGCGGGCUCGGGUUGCUCCUGCACCGCUGCCGCUGCCUCCCACCGCCAAUCAGCGCGCGCCCCGGCCUCCCUCCGUCAUCGGCACCCGCCUGCCUCCGGUGCGCCCGCCACCAAACUGUUGACGGCCGUGUCCUAGCUCCUCCCUGCCUGGUAAGCUUUUUAACCCCAAUUUUUGUGUAUUUCUAGGUUGGCUGCACUUUUUUGGCUAACCAAGGCUAUUCCGAUGCCUCCGGAGGUGAGCACGGUAAUCAUUGGUCAAUGCUGAUCACAAUGCUCACCUCACUUUUGAUCAACGGAUUUUGAAUCUGCAUAUUCGGCGCGGUUUACCCCGAGUGCGUGUAGUUUGUUGAAUUUCGGGUCGCUCCUGCGCCUCCUAUAGUGAGCCGCUGUGCUUCGAACCAUGAGCACGUCCUCCGGCAUGUCGAGACCUAUCAGUACAUGUCUUGGCUGACCUCGAAAACCCUCAGUUUGUGGUAACGAGCCACAAAGCCUCGUUAUUUACAUAAAAUGAUGUAAUUUUAUGCAAUGGUUGGGUGUUUUAUGCAAUUUUGCAUCUUGUGGCUGCUAUGGGCAGUAUGUGUGUGUGGGAAGUGAGCUCUGGACUGAUCGUCUAAGGUCCAAAUCCCUUUGCGAAAAUCGAAUAUCGAUUUUGGUGCAUUUUUCGACGAAAUUCGCCGGCGAAACGCGGUUUCGGUUCGAAUUUCAUCCAACAGUGUUUGAAUGCCUUGAGUUUUGUCGCUGAGCCUUGUCAGCUCGUCACCAUCAUCAUAUCUAGAGUUUGGAGAUGACGGGUGAGCGACUGUGGGUUCCGGUGUCGAAAUUGACACUUCUGGGAAUCUAGAUCCGAACGACUAUUCGGCGAUAAUCGUUUUGAUGCGUGACCUUGUGUUUGCUUCCAAGACACCCAAAACGAUGUGUUUUGUGGCAGCGGGUGACUCGUGGCAUGAGUCGGUGAGUUUCGGGACACUUAGUAGGUCACGGCAGCGUCCCGGUGUGAUUUCAGGACUUCCAGCGAGUUACGGUGAUCGAUUUUAGGAAACCGAUUUUGGGGUAUUGUGUGGGGUUCGUGUAGUGUCCCUGAGGUUUGUAUAGGCUUGGCUACAGUACUAGUGACUGGUCGACACAUCUGGAGAGUGUCGGACUGAGUUGGAGUCGUUUCUGCAUGAAAUGGAUGCAGAAAUGGACUCGGUGCACUCAAAUAAGCAAAACUGGAGUUUUGCCAGUUUCGGACGCCCAGAACUAGAUUUGGGUCGCCCAGAACUUGAGUGCAGAACUGAGUAGAACUAGAAGCCAAUUCGGAUCCUAAUUUCGGGCGCCCAGAAGUGGGUUCGAAAAUUUACUUCGUGAGUAUCGUUUGUGCUGACACAUGGCUGGUGGUAGGUGAGAUCCGCCGGAGCCGGAUAUGGGCGCAGCACACCGCGGGCGGUGGAACCAAAGUGGAGGAUUUGUGUAGCCUGGAGGUUUCGGACACCCAGAAAGAGGUUUUGGGCGCCCGAAGGUGGUCGUUUCUGCCGAGUUAUCAGGUUAGCAACUUUUGUUCCUGAGGCUUAUUGGACCAUUCUAAACCCCUAUAAAUAGAGGGAACUCGACUCCUGUGAGCUCUUUUCCUCCCUUCUUCAUAGAGAACCCUUAGUUUCCAUUUCAACCCCUCCAAACUUUUCAAAUUACUCCAAAUUCCUCAAAUUGAAGCUUGAAGGCUGUAGUUUCAGCAGAUUCCAGCAGCGGCCUUCGGCGUUUUGGCUCGUGUGCUACGUAGGAAGCUCCGUUUUUCACGAAACUUGGUUUGUUGGAUUUUGGACUUCAAGAGGAAUUCGUGGAGCCUAUUUUGACAGAAAUUGAUUGAGGUUUGUAUAGCCUAUUUCGUGUUUUCCUGAGAUGCUGGGAUUUCGAACCUGAAAUUAAGUUUCUUUGAUUUUCUUGGACUAAUUCUUGGAGGGAGCUGGAAUUGCAACCUGAGAUUGAUACUCCAUCAUAGUUCACUGGAUUUGGGACUGCUCCUCAUCUGAAUUUGAGUUUGGAAGGUAAAGUUGACAUUGGAAUUGGAUGAUAUUAGCUUAAGUGCUGAAUUUUUGGAGUAUUGAUGGAUUUUUGGUGGAUUUUGUAUAGACCUUGGAUUUGUUUGGUUGCUGGUUGUGGCAGAGAUUGACAGGGAUUCCGGCGACUCCUCGCUGCUGUGGAUUUAGCGCUUAAGGUGGGUUAAUCAUCGGAUUCUCCUCCUAAGUGUACGCAUAGUAAACAUGUAUAUUUUCAGCAGUUGUAUAGCAUAUUUUUAACUCGAAUUCAUCGAUUAGCAUGUUAAAUGAAAUAUGAAUUUGGAGUAUGCUGUAAUAAGUUAGAUAAAUUAUACAUGUUGGAUUUGAAAUUGACUUAGGAGAAAACUAGCGCUUCUACACUGUCACAUGUUAAAACUACUAGAUUUAGCUCUAGGAGCCGUAGUUUGUUUGUAUCACCGCAGUUUGUGGGCGGUGGAUACUCAAGAUAGUAUAGAAUGUAUUUUUACAGCAGUGUUUAGGCUGUUCCGGAUUGUCCGGUGCGGUUGCGGUUAACGGUGGACCAGAUUACUAUUUUUGUAUCAGAUUGUGCCGAUGGCACGUAAGUUUGGGUUGUUAGACCUGUUUGACCCUGUUUACUUGGAUUAUAGCCUGCAAGAGCCUGAUUUAGCUCGACAGAGAUAUGCUUGCAUACUCGGUUGGGUAGCGCCCACGAGUGCCACUCCGGAGUCGGGCUUUGUGCGUUUGCUUUGGUGUCGUUUUGUCCUAGUUGGACUUGCUCUCCACGGACGGCUUAGUGUGGAGGUGGCUGUAUAGCUUCGACAAGCGGGACGGGUGUAUUCACAGUCCCUGGGACGGGUGUGUUCACAAUCCCUAGUGAGAUUGGGUCAGAGAUCGCAUUAUUCUACAGAUAGUAGUGUCGGGUCAUAAUAGUAUAGUGGCAUGUAGCUGUAGACUAUUUUCAGUUCCUUUACUAUCGUUUGAGCAUAUCAUCUGUAGACUUGGUGGGUGAGCCGAUGAGUUGAGGGCGGUACCCACUGAGGACUACUUAUUUUUGCAGUAGUUCUCACGCCCAUUUGUUACCCUUAUUUUACAGAGCCUUCAGUUACGGCUACUGCUACUGCUGAUUUUGAUCGUGGAAAGGGUGUUGCAAGUUAGAGCCCUUCCUGUCGAGUUGUUGAGCUAGAGGAGUACCGGCUGCAGGUAGUUGUAGUUUUUGGUUUAUUAUACAUACUGAUAUUGUAUCUCGCUGGAGCGAGUAAUUUUUGUAUACGAGGAUGCUAUGUAUGUAUAGUGAACUUCUAUUGUUUAGUUAUGUUUUAUUUCUGCAGCUCCAUACUACUGGUUGUAGUGUUGUAUGAUUACAGGUACAGGUACAGCUUCGCUUCGUAUACAGAGAAAAUUUCUAUAUAUACAGCAGGUCUGUUAGCGUGCCCGAAAAAACGAGGAAUCCAGGGCGUGACAGUUCGUGAGUUGUGUAUUUUGGAUUAGUGGGUUGGACACUGACCUAGUGGACCCUCCGUAGAUCCGGUUGGCGAUUAGUUUGGAGACAGGCGCGAUGUUGGUACAGGUGGGUGCUUCGAGCUGGUAGUCAGUGAGAUUGUUUCACUUUUCUCUUCCUUGCUAUUGCACGUGCAUAUCAGUAUAUUAGUCUCUACAUGUCGGUUGCCUUUGGUUAUCGUUCGUUUAUCUAUGUCUUGAUAGUUGCAUGGUGAUUGUUGUUACUAGACAUGUAGAGCAGGCUUGCAUAUAUUGUAUAUCUGUGGACCUCGGGUCCAGGCAACACAACCACUCUUUUGUCGUGUGUUUUGAUCUGGUUGAUCAUGGUUGUAUGCCCUUAUAUCUGGCUUCAGCCAAGACACCGAUUUUCUGUCGGCUUUUGUAUUGAGCAUAUCAACAUGAUUUAGUCACAGCACUACGUGUAUUCCUAAACACCAGGUCGGUUUGGCCACCGACCAGGGGUGUACUUAUCCGGAUGGGUCAUCAGUGGAUGCGUGAAUCAGGUCAGUGUAUGCACUGUGACAGGCAAAGCUUGGGGGUCUGUGGACCAAUAUGGCAGGCACCAGAUUGGGUUUGAUUGAAUUAUUUACCCUUUGAGGCAUUUGUUCAGUUGAGUUUCUGAUAUAGUAAUAGGUUUAUUCCUUGCUCAUUUACAGUUCUGUUAUUACUACUGUUGUUCGCUUAUGUAUCAUGUCAUAUUCAUGUAUACCUGUUGUUCUAUCUCCCUUGUUUUCCAAUUAAUACGAUUUUCCUUCAUGGCUCUAUCGUACCCACUGGGAAACUUUGUUGUAGUUUCUCACCCCCCCCCAUUUUCCUAGGUGGCUCAGGCGAGAAGUUGGUUCUUGGUGCGACGGAAGGACAUCCUAGAUAGGCUGCGUUAGCGGUCGUUACCCUGAUUAUUUUUCUUUUCGCAUUUAGUAGUUUAAAUAAUAAAAUGAUUCAGUUAGAUAAUCUUGGUUAUUGCUUGAAUAAUCGUCAACUUGUUUGAGUGGCGUUUUCUAUUAUGCAUGCAAUCGGAGUUUUAUGAAUCUUGGUAUUUUGAUUUAUGUAUUCAUGCAUUGUGGUUUUCUAUCCCUCGAGAUAGUCGGUUUUAAAAAAUAGAGUUUCCGAGUGGGAGACAGUUUUAAAAGGUUUUCUAAUGGUUUUCAUGGAUGUACAAGUAGAGUUUAAAAACAAACCUUCCGAGUGGGGAGUACUUUUAAAUAGUAUGAUUGUUGUAAUGUGCAUGGCAUCACCCAGCGCCUAUGGAGUAUUUAGAAGCAUACAUCAUUUUUAAGGAUCGCUAGCUGUAUAGAAUUGCAUCGCAUCAAUUGCUUGCGGAUUAGUGAAUGUAGGUUGUGAGUUGUGAUACUAUUGUUGUUAUCUUUGGGUGCGCUAUGCAAAUACAAAGGAGACUCUAUCCGUAUGGGCAGAGAAAUUUUGUAUUUAUGGCGGGUCUGUACACCACGUGGGCCAGGUUGAAUUAAAAAAAAAGACACAUUUUUCGCAACUCUGAUUUCUAAAGUAGUAUUCAUUAUAAAAAGGCUUUUAAAAUAGACCCCAGGGCGUGGCACGCAGGCCAAAACAGCUGCAUUGAAAAGGAAGAAGCACAAGGAUGAAAAAAUAUAGUACAAGAAGAAUCAAUUCUUUGAUAAAGACAAAAGUCUUUAAUUAAUUCUCAAAACUCUUAAUUAUCUCAUAAUAAUAUGAUUACAACAACCAAUGGCCAUAUUUAUAUAGAGGCGAUAUCCGAAUCCUAUUAUAACGAAAAUAACAAAUUCUAGUAUUUCUCUAAAUCUAACCAGAUUUGAAAUAAUUGAAUAAUCGGACUGAAAAUAGAAAAAUACAAAACUUUCCAAAGAUAAUCCUAAAUGCAAAACCAAAUUGAAACAACCGAACUGACCCAGACGUAGCUGAACAACCGAAUGACUCCAAGCGGCCACAGGAAGAGUCGAGUGGACGAGCUGUAACAUAUCACUUCCCCGAGAGUCGUGCCGAGUUCCGUCGAAAUGAGCGGAACGCGGAAAGGGAUGAGUUACUAUAGGCUAAAAGUGCAUUGGAGCCUAUAUAUGUGUUAUAAAGGGACCCGAGAGAGUGAAACUGCAAUUCUGGAGAAAUCCUAGAGAUUUUACUCUCGUGGACCGGUCCCUUGGAUAAGAGACCGGUUCCCGAACGUUGGUCAGCUGAGCAGAGGGAAAAAUCGGCUAAGUCCUGGAAAUCGAGCUCUCGGGAACCGGUCCUUCGGCGCGAGACCGGUCCUCGGAGACCGGUUUCAUCGGGAGGAGACCGGUCCUCUUUUGCGCAGGUUGCAGGGUAGCUCUCGGGAACCGGUUCCUGAAGGGGAGAGACCGGUCCCCAAGCUCGAAAAUGCCCAGUAAGGGCUAGUUGCAAAAGUGAAAAGUUGAGGGGUUUAAAUGCAAAUAUGGCAUGUGAAGGGUUAUUUGGGCUAGGGCAUGAGUGAGAGCCAUUUGUUCUCACUCUUACUCUCAAACCCUUCCCUCUCUCUCUCUAAAAACCUCUCCUCUCUCUCUCCCUCUCUCUCUAGGGCUUGGAUUAAGAGGAGUUUUGGAGGAGAAAAGCUUGGGGAAGAAGCUCUCCAAGGUGAGAGGCAAGCUAGGCAAGGCUUUUGAAGGAAAGCUUGGGCUCCAAAGGUGAGUUCUUAUGAUCUUAAGUUAGGUUUUGAAUUUUUGCUUCUAGUUGAAGCAUUUAGAGAUGUCUUUGGUGGUUUUCCUUCAUGUUUUGUCAAGCUAGGGGGCUUGAUUGGAGAAGAUGACAUCUUUGAGGGACCUUAAGUUGGGUUCAAAUUUGGAUUUGAUCUCAUUUUAAUCUAAUUGGUAGGUCUACGAACGCAUCGGUGUGCUCGGUUCGGCGAUACGACGAGCGUGCGUGAAGAUAUUAAGAAAACGAGCAGAAAUAGUACAGAUCGUCGUAGCUCGCGGCGAACAAGCCCAAAAAUCGUGGAAUCGGAACCGUGGCAUCCUUGUGACACACAAAGGUGGGGGGUGCUAUCCGGAGACACCGGAUCUCUUUCUAUGUCUAUGUCCUUUCAUUUGAGCAUAUUGAUAUUAUAGCAUUCUUGCAUGUAGGGUAAUGAACAGCAUGUAUUGGUUGUAACAAUUAUCUGCUCAAGAUCAUUGUAGUGAUAUAGAACCAUGUGAAAAAGGAAAGUGAAAGACCCUAUAUGCAUGUGAAUGUAAGAAAUGACCGUGACCAUAGUAAACAAAGGCGACAUGGACAUUAGUGACUCGAUUGACAUCGAUAAGAGAAUAGUUAAACAAGGUUUAACCCAAUUGACAUAUGUGUAUUGUGGCAUCAGGACCACCGUGGCAUUGACAAGUGAUAGCAUGAGCAUGAAUAGGUAUUAACCAUUCAUCGGCAUUGAGACAGUGAGAAUUGUGACAGGUUGGCCAUACCUCCUCAAAUUGAGGAUGGGAUCAUACUCACAGGUAUUGGUUCCGGCUUGUGUGAGGUCGCUCCUCCACAAGCGGUGUACUCCGGAGAAGAAAAGCACCACGGGUGGACGUGCCCGGCGAAGAUCCUUCGGGUGGUUGUGCCUGUGCCUCCCCCGUUAUAUGGAAAUGUGGACUGUGAGUUGGGGUAAACCAGGAGCACCCCAGGUUGAUUGGAUAAAGGCCAAAGGAAAGUGGAAAGAACAUGCAUGCAUAAUUAUCAUGUAUUUGAAUAUGAUUAUCUAUCUGUGACUUGUUUCUUGCAGGCAUUGUAUUAGAAGUGCAUUAGUUGAUUUGUUAUUCUUCUUUAUUGAAAUACAUAUGCCUGAAUUAGACCUAGUGGGUGAAUCGGCGUGGUCUGCAGCCGAACCCACUGGGAACUUCUUCUAGUUCUCAUUACCACUAACCUUGCAGAUCCAUACGCGAGCGGGGCGGCGGAGAAUCGAGGCAAGGGAGUUGCGCCGUAGAUAGCGGCCUCGGAGUUAUAUAGGCAUACCCUACAUACGGUGUAUUCAACUUUUGUAUGUUGAGAUAGUAAGAUGAAAAUGAUGUAAAUUGCCUUUUGGUUAAAAGAAAUCGUGAUGUAAAUGAAUGUGAAUGAAUGUAAUAGAUUACUUGUGUUUGAUUUAAAUGAAAUCAAAUGACAUGUGAUGGAUGUUUAGUUAGUUUCGAUGCUUUCACUUGUUGUUGUGGUUGUUGUUUGCCCUCGUGCAAACCUUGUAUAUUCUGCAAUUCUCUUUUGAUUUGCUUGUAAUAUACUUGUUGUUGGAGCCUUGGGCGAACAGGGGAGGUACUGUCCGUUCGGCGUCUGUCAUGUGCUUGAAUCCGACCAAAUUGGCGGAGCUCGGGGCGUGACACGAGCCGAGUGAUAUCCAACGAUAGCAUGAAGAGCCGAUCGAAAGAGUCGAGUGCCAUAAGAAAGAACGCUCCCUAACGAGAUCAACCGAGGGCCAAGAGCCGAAUAGAUCCACUGAGUGUCGAGUUUCUGAACUCAACCGAGUUUUCGACUCAACUUAGUUGAGUCAUGUUUUUCUAUGAACUCUAACUUAGCCGCAUCAACACCAAAUCCAAAAAUUUUACCAAUUCUUUCUAACACAAAUAUAUAUAAUUCUAAUUCUAAUACAAAUAUAUAUAAUUCUAAUUAAAAACUUUCAAAUCAUAUCCCUAAUUUUUAGAAAUUUAUUCAUUAUAGAAAAAUCCUAGAAAUCUAAAAAAAAAAUCAGUGAAACAAAAUUACCAAAAAUAAAAUUUCAAAAAUUAAUUAAAAUAAAAAACUAAUCCUAAUUACUUUUUUCUAGCUGCAUCAUUCUCCCCGUGUUGGAAAGAUCUGGCCUUCGAGAUCUACUCGAACAUCUUCGUGGCAAGGAACAAAUUCGGGAAGUAAUACGAUCUGAUGAUGCAAUCCAAGUCCUGCUAUGAACUGAUUUAAUGAAACUAUUGACCAACUCCUCUCACUUAAAUUUUGAAAUUUUUGGCACAAGGUCUCAGUGUAAUUGAAUGGAAAAAACUGCUUUUGUAUCUUAUUCUUCGUAUGCUUUGAAUUAAUAAUUUUUAAUUUUCUCUUGCGGGUACGAAUCUUCUUUAACUGUUUCAACAGUGUAGAAGUCAGACCUUUAAGUUUAAGGGCAACAAGUUUUGCAUUCUUACCCUUGGGCAUGGCAUAUCUUUGCGCUUGAUCUUAUCAAUCGAGUUGAUGAAAUCCUUCGCUUGUAGACCUCUCAAGUAUUCCGAAAGCUCCUGAUACUUGAAUUGACCCAUCGAUCUACACGACCAAUACGGCUUGUAUCAUGCCCCCAGCACGGACACUUGUCUCCGGGAAGCAGGGCCAUGGAAGGGGUUAUCAAAGCCAAAAGAUUCCGAAUCAAGGUUGUCGUCUUCUUAGCCCUGAGUCCCGAUCAACGCCAAACGAGUGGUCAAGGCCUUGAUCUGCCUUCUCCAUUCUUCGAUCUUGAUAUCACGAAGAUCUUGCUGACCUCGGGGUCCCACGCUUGCAUGCUUGUUGUCAUUCAUGCUCCCAAGGAUGCGCACACCAAUGUUGCGACCUUGGAUUGCAGCGUCCUGGUUCGCGUUCUGGUUCCUUCUCCGACCACCAGCCAUGUCUCACGAAAGCACCGCUCCAAGGUUCAAGCUAGCUCUGAUACCAACUGACGCAGGCCAAAAUAGCUACGUUGAGAGGGAAGAAGACGGAAAGAGAUGGUACAUGAAAAUCUAAUUCUUCGAUAAAGACGAAAGUCUUUAAUUAAUUCUAAGAACUCUUAAUCAUCUCAUAAUAAUCUGAUUACAACGACCACACGCCGCAUUUAUAUAGAGGCGAUAUUCGAAUCUUACUAUAACAGAAAUAAUAAAUUCUAGUAUGCCUCUAAAUCUAACAAGAUUUGAAAUAACUAAAAAACCAGACUAAACAUAGAAAAAUAUAAAACUUUCCAAAAAUAACCCGAAAUGUCAAAAUAGAAUUGAAACAACCGAACGGACUUAGGCAUAGCUGAACAACCCAGUGACUCCCGGCAGCCGUAGGAAGAGCCAAGGGGACGAGCCGAGUGGUAAUCCUAAUUAGUUUUUUCUUUUUGGCUGCGUUAAAUAAUUGUAUUUGUAAAUUUUAUAUGGAUACGAUGGAAAAAAAGAUGCAGGAGAGUCCGCCGUAUUAGACGAGAAAAGCAUGCCAUUCGGAGGAAGCAAAGGAGGGCUUGCUGACUCAGUUUCCUUCGCUGGAUAAUAGAGACGUAUAAAUAGAUAUAGAUAGAUAAUUAAGAUAAAAAUUAGAUAGUUGGGGACUUCUUCUUUUUUUUUUUUUUUUUUUUUUUUAAGCCAAGAACCAACUCUGGCGGGCUUCUUACCGCUAAUUGUACCGGUGAGACCGUUACAGAAACAGAUACAAGAAACGAGUGGGGGCGCUCGGGAUAACACAAUCCUGGGCCGUCUGCAAAUCCACGCCUUCCACUCGCUCAUCUCCCCCGCUCGCCACCGCUCUCAUCUCCUCACUCUCCAUGGCUGCUCUCGCCGCCACCGCCGUCGUCUUCUCUCCUCUCUCCCUCCGCUCCCCUCCCCGACUCCCGCUCCUCCUAUCUCCCCUCUCUCGCGUCUCCGCUUCCGCUUCCUCUUCCUCUCCUCUCACCCGCCCCUCUCUCAUCUCCCCCGUGUCCACGCGCUCAUCUCUCCUGAUCCGCUCUUCCCCUUGCUACAUCGUCGCCGCGGCGGCGUCGGCCGGGGAGAAGACGCGGAAGAACGUCCUCAUCAUCAACACCGACAGCGGCGGCCACGCAGUCAUCGGCUUCUACCUGGCGAAGCAGCUGCUCGCCGCGGGCCAUGGGGUCACCGUGCUCACCGUCGGUGACGAGAGCUCCGAUAAGAUGAAGAAGCCCCCGUUCACUAGAUUCUCUGUAUUAAAGAAAACAAUGUUUGAUCUCUUUAAAUUCCCCUCUAUUCAUUUUUAGCCAGGGUUUUGUGUAAUGGUGCUGGCUGAUUGGAUUCUCCAGGAAUUGCGGAGUGCCGGAGGGAAAACAGUUUGGGGGGAUCCUGCGGAUGUGGGGAAGAUUGUGGGCGCGGAAUCGUUUGAUGUGGUGUUGGACAAUAAUGGCAAAGAUUUGGAUGCCGUGAAGUACGUAAGCCCAUGGCCUUUCAUCCUCUUAUUAAUAAAAAAUUAGCUAUCUAGAGCUGAUGGUUUUGCUUCAUACUUGAUUUUGGCAACCCAAAUGUUCUAAUUAAGAUGUGUCAUACUUGAUUUUGACUGUGUCUUUUCUCUCUUAUUGGAUUGCCUUAGGAUUUCGUCGAGAUCUUAUGAGCUUGGGCAUGUCACUGCUAUCUUGUUCUUUAUUGAGAACAGGAGGGAUAUAUUUGUUUGUUUUGAUGGCAGAGGUGCUUGUAGUGUUUCUAUGAUGUUUCUCUUUGUAACCUACUCUCUUCAAUAAGUAUGCAUAAGGAAUCACCCAAUAUUUUAAUAUCCAAAAAAAAAAAAAAAAAAAAAAAGUGUGCUUGCUACUAGGCAUGAUUUGACAUUUGAGCCUUAUUUGGGUUAAGUAAUUUUUGUUUUCUACCAGAAGAAGCUGUUGACCAUCCGUUGGAUCGCACGUGAGUUGGAUCCCAACACGUCUGGAGGAUUGACUGAGCAAUACAUUUUUUCUAUAUUGAAAGAGAAAUGCUAUUUGUAUACUGAAAAAAAAAAAAAUACAAAGAUCUUUUGAAUUUUAGCUCUUUUAUAAAUCGGGCGCUUGAACUUUUAACCUUUAUCAAAUAAUUUAAUAAUUUUUUUUAAUUAAAGUUAUUGAUUAUCGAAUACAUAAUUAUUUUUGUUGUAUGUAAUGUAUCUAAUUUUAUAAAGCCUCAAAACAUUGAAAAAAAAUAUUUGUUGUAUUUGAACGUAUAAAAAAAUAAUGAAAAUUAAAGUUUGGUUCAACCAUUUCUUCGAUCAUCUAACUUUUAUUUUGAGAAAAAAAUAGCACGUUACAUGCUUCUUUCAUAUAAAACUUCAAUCCCCUAACUUAAUUAUCAAUACUAAAAGAGAAAAAAUAAUUUUUUUACAUAUAUAUUUUGAAGCCUUACAGAAUUAUAUAAAUGAUAUUCGAUUAAGAUUGUAGUGUAAUUAGUAAGUUCACUUGAGGAGAGGAAUCUAUUGAAAUAUUUGAUAAAGUUUAGCAAAUGCAAUCAUUAAAAUUAAAAGAUCCGGUUCCUAUUUGCAAAAGAGCGCAGUUUGAGGAGUCUCUUUACGUUACAUUUUACUCCGUUGAAAAAUAGAUAAAAAAUUUUACACCUCAUCCAUCUCAAGAUUAAUUUUAUCAUAUUAGCAACAUCAUAACUCCAAAAGUGUUUUUCGAAUUUUUAAAUGAGUGGGGUAUAAAAUUUACACAUAUACGUUUAGUUUUAUAGGCAGCAAUUGUCACAUUAAAAUACUUACAAUACGCUAAAUAUAUAGUGUUAAAAUAAAACUUUAAUUUUUAGUCUCAUAAUUUUAUUUAUAUUUUUAAUUAUUGUAAAAGUUUUAAUUUGAAAUUUUUUACUUAAACAUUGUGAUAGAGAUAAUUAAAGCUGAAGGGAAAAGUAGUUUAACAUCCAAUAGAUUCUCAACGGAUUAGAGGUAUGUUUUUUUUUUCCUAUUAGAGAGAGAGAGAGAGGGGGAGGGGGUAGUUUGCUACUUGCAUAAAAAAUAUAAAUUAAUUAGACUUUAAAUUUCAAAUUUUGAAUAUCAACUAUCAACUUUUUUUAUUAGAGACAAUCGGACAUUAGUAGUAUGUAUUAGUGAAUGCCGAUGUUCAGCAGGUAGUUCUUCUUUGCUUUUUUGUUUUCUCAAAAAUUACUUUCAAAUUUUAUUUCAAUUAACAGAAAUGGUACUCUCCAUAUGGCCUAACUCAAAAUCGAGUAUCAGGUGACUAUCCCGAUUCAAGAGUCAAGGUGAGGAUAAAUUUUAUAAUAAAACUGCAAAUGUUUAAAGCGUAAAAAAAAAAAAAAAUUUAUUGGUUAUACGAAUGAUGAACUAUUUUGGUGCUUAUGUAUAAUUUUAAAGCUCAAACAAAAAAGACAAAUAGUCACAUGCGCGGCUAACACCUGGUAAACCCGGGAUGCGGAUGUACAGAACAGCAACCCGACCCGAAACCGAAUGUCGGAUUUUGAGUUUUUAUGUAUAACGGAUAAAACACCCGCACCCGUUAAUUAUGCGGAUUAUCCGAUUUAGAUCUUAGCCGUUAUAAAAUGACGCAUAACCCUUGGGCACGGGAACUAUGUACUGCAUACAUAGAAGGGUAGUUUUGUCACUUGAUAUGUGGGAGAGUUAAAGACGCAAAAAUCCCGAUCGAGGGAUCGAGCCCUAACCCCGCAGCGUCCUCGCCUCACUUCAUCUUGCUCCUCGCCCCUCCAAGAACUCCUCGCCGGCGACCUCCGCCGCUCCAAGAACUCGCCGGAGGCUACCGGAGCUGGAGGACGCCGCUGCCUCCCUACGCCGUGGGAUUUGGAUGCUCACAGGUCGGCGAUUUCUGGUUUCCUUAACCCUAAUCGGAGCUACACUGCGCUAUUGGACCUCAUUUACCCUGAUCCUAGAUCAAGAAGAGAAGAGAAAGGAAGGAGAAGAAGACGGAGAGGGAGAAGGUGAGACCCGUACCCUAAGCUUGCCCUAUCUCUCGUACGCGAGAACGCACGAACGCGACGGGUGGAGGGAUUCGCUGUUCCAAAUCAACUAGUUUCUUAAUCGUAUGAAUCGUCCUCAUGAACUUUUACUUAACCAUCUUCUUCCCGAUCACUUUGUAUAUUUUCUAUUUUGUGGGUGAUUAGAUGGUUGUAUGAUUUUGAUUCAUAAUGUAUUGCCCCAUCCUUACACUACGAAGCAAUGUGCAGUGUAUCUGGAGUGGGAGUCAUCCUUCGCGGCGUUUUCAAGAAUCAGCUGUUACAACGGUUCAUAUGUUUCAGGUACAUUUUGGUCAUACUUUUUUUACUCGACGUUCUUCUUUUCUUCGUGCCAUCUAGAAAAGUUGCACCCUUUCCUUCACGGAACGUUUGCAGGAAUUUAUUACGAACUAUUGUUCUUUAUUCACCACAUAUUUUAUUUGUUUUAGAUGAAUUAAAGGGCACUUCUUUUUCCAUCUAUUGCAUAUCUCGUCUAUUUAGAUACUACCACUUUUCUUUCUUGUACCUUUAUUUUUUAAUGUUUCUAAAUGUAUGUUUCUCUCUGUUGUGUUAAGUGGUCAUGCAUACUUAAAUUCUAGAGUUGUAAUAACGUACAAGCUUCUUGGUUCAAAUUCCUGCUUAAAUUCUUGCUUCGUGCACACAUCCAGUUCUUAAAUUCUUUGUUUUGACUCCGCAAAACUAUGCGAUUGCCUAAUUUUGCACCAUGUAAAGGUCAACUCGGGGUGUUUAUAUGCACACUUGAAUAUAGUCAUUGCAUUCCAUUUGCUGUGUAUAAGUGCAUUAGAAUUAGGACAGAGUUUGAACAUUUUAUUGGAUUAUUCUAGUAAUACCUCAGCAUGGAGUUCGUAAUAAGUAAUUCUAGAGCUGUUUUUGUUAGGCUCAUAUGUAGGUCCCUACUUUAAUAAAAUCUAUAGUAUGCUCUGCAUCAGUUUUUUUUGGGGGGGUAGUUUAUCAGGAUCUUUCAUCAUUAUACAUGCCAAAUCUGAGAGUGGUAGAGGUGAGAUAAGUGCGUUAUUAGUUACGACAAAGUUAAUCUGAGUGCCGAAGCAUGGCUUAUGCUACAUUUUCCAAGAUCAUGCAAGACAUGACCAUUGAACUUGAUUUUUAUAUUCCAUAAAGGUUUACUAAAGUUAUCAUUUCAAUUAUCUUGGACCAGGUAGUUUAUUAGAGGAUCAAGUUGAAUACGGCAUAACUUUAAGAAUGCUGCUUAAGGCUGAGAAAGCUUUUGUUCUGCAUUUUUGUUUUUAUUGAAUAUCCUUUAGUUUAAAAAGAAAUCAUAUGUGACUACGACCAAAUAUUGUACUAUGCUUUAUUGGCCGGAAAAUUGGCAGCCAUGAGACAGCACAUUAGAAAACUCAAGGCAUCUAUGGCCUGGGUUAUGAUUUUUGUGGUGGCAGGACGCUCCAUGGGUGAAAGCUAUUAGCCAGCGAGCUGAUGACUGCAAUGCAAAGCACAUUGUAGCCGAAAAGCCCGACCAAAUAGGUCCUUAGUAUUGUUGAGAAAAGUAACUUGAGAUAAAGAUAUCUAUUGACAAUAUCAACUGGACAGUGUAAUGUGCCAGUGAGAGACUGUUUAUUCAAGUUUCAAUAUUUAAGAAAGGAGAGGAUGAUGAUCGCAUCCAUACGUAACUUGUGAAGUGCGUGCUGACGGUAAUAUUAAUUGGAGGACGUGUGCUUUUAAGGAAUUAGGCUGUUUUUGCCGAUCUACGUUAUUUCUAAUUUUCUGCUCCUCUGCUGAAUUAAGGAAAAAAUGCUUCAGGAAUCUGUGAAAUGAUAAAUGAGCUUAAUGCUUACCCAUGUCAAGCUUGAAUUACUUGCUAUUGAAGUGUAUCAUCAGAUUUUCUCUAAAGCAUUCUUCAAACUUGCUUUGUGUGCUGGAUGACUCGUAAACUGCUUUUGCCCCAACUGUUUAAGAAACUUUGAGAAUUUAAACUAGGUCAAUAAUAAUGCUGGCGAUAUGCUAUCCUUUUCCUCCUAUUUCUAUUUCUGAAGUUGAAUUUUCUUGUAGAGAUUAAAGAACUUGUUAAUGUAAUGUUUCUUUAUGGUUUUGUCCAGAGCCUAAACAUAUGAUCCUGCUCACCUGAGGUGAUUAUGCAGUUUAUGGAAAACAUCAAAGGUAUCUUGUUUGCCUGUCAUGUGCUAUUUAAUACUGGACAAAUGGAUAUCUACUUAUUUCUGAGCUAGUAAGCACUUUAUUUUGUUCAGCACACUUGCUGCACUUCUACUGCUGCAAGUACAUUGGAUCAUGACAUAAGUGCCUGUAAAAAGGCACAGUUAUGGCCUCGAAGGGUCCCAGGUUGAAGACAGAUCAAGAGACACGGCCGAGACGUCAGAAGGUUUCUUCUCUCAUUAGACUUAUUCACAUUCUAUUAUCUAUAAUUUCAUGGUGGAGCAUUUUUUGUAGAAUUUCAAUCUGUUGAUUGUUUUUUCUGGGGAUUUUCUCUCCUUAACUGGAAUAUGCAUGACAUUAAAAACCAUGUUUACCUGUUCCAUUGUGUUUGUGCUGAGCAGUUUCAUUGUUCCAUUUUGUCAUUCUUAUCCACUGACCGUUGGUUUUUUUUAAAAAAUAACAUUGUUACAUGUACCUGGAAUAUAUAACUCAUUGUUCUAUUAUUCUUUAACUAUUGGGAGUAUAUAACUCAUUGUUCUUUCAUUCUUUAAAAUAUUGAGAAUGAGGACACGACGGACUCUUGAUUUUAUGUUUCGUAGACAUUGAUGCCGGUGAGAGUUACUAUGGAUGUUCCUGUAUGUACUUGUGCACAUUUAGCUGUAAUCAUGUAUAAGUACAUAGCUUAGCCUUUUAACUUGUAGACCUUUUCUAUUAUGACUCAGAGGUUGUUAAUCAUGUACUCUAUUUAAUUAUUUAAGGAUACGUAUGGCAAUGCUUUUGUGUGAAAAUACCCUGUUUUGUGGGCGCAUCUUGCAAGUUGUUAGUCUACACUAUUAGUUGAAGCUUUUGUUGUCUUGGCAGUUUUCACACUAACACUUUCUUUUUUUAAUUUAUUUCAAAGGAGCCUCCCCGACCCAAGGCUCAUUGGGAUCAUGUUCUGGAAGAGAUGCUUUGGUUGUCAAAAGUAAGUUCCUGAAAACUCUGUUCAUAUUUGCUACCUGAAAUUGCUUAUCUGUUGAUAUAAAUUAAUUGUGAAGGUCUUAUCAUUGUUAUUCUGCCAUAUUUAUAUUUCUGGCUUUUAGGACUUUGAGGCGGAGAGAAGAUGGAAAUUGGCUCAAGCCAAAAGGGUUGCUAUACGAGCCAGUAAGAGUGUUUUGGAUCAAGCUACCAGGGGAGAGAAAAAGCAAAAGGUUUGACUAUCUUUAAACUUUCAUCUUUUAUUCAUACUUAAUCUGAUCCUUUCCGUAUUGAGUUCUAGGAAGAGGAGCAACGACUGAGAAAAGUUGCCUCAAAUAUUUCAAAGGACGUGAAAAAGUUCUGGAUCAAAAUAGAGAAGUUGGUUAGUUCAUUUCUUUGUUCAACUUAAAAAAUUAAGCUAAUUAUAUCAGUCCUGAUUGACGCCACGCUUUUUAAGUAUAACCCUUCAAGUAAUUCUUCAAUGUAGGUUCUCUAUAAGUACCAAUUGGAGCUCGAGGAAAAGAAGAAAAAGGCUCUUGAUAAACAACUUGAUUUUCUUUUAGGCCAGACAGAAAGGUAACUUUCCUUUAAUUUGGCUAAUGUUAAAGCUGGUUCUUCUUAUUCUGUCCUCAUUCUUAAAUUUGACUCUUUUUUUUGUUUUUUAAACCUGAACCACAGAUUUGUCUAAUAAUUUCUUUUCUAAUCCUGUGUUAGAUAUUCAACAAUGUUGGCUGAAAAUCUAGUUGAUAUGCCCUAUUCUUCCAAACCGGGGAUUGUAAAUUCUAUGGCAAAUCAACCAAUUGAUUCAAAUAAGAAGGGUGAUAAUCAGAGUCCUACAAGAAGUGCAGGCAAUGAUGGUAGUCUUUUGUGUUCAUUUUCUAAGUCCGAGUUUCUUCAUAAUUUACUUGAAAUUCUUUGUGGCUCUUAUACAGUUGCUGAACUAAAUAAUAUGGAGACUGAUGAUGAUUAUAAGACCCAUUCAGAAGAUGAGACGGUAAGCUAUCUCAUUAGAUUUUCUCAGCUUUCCUUUUCUCAGAUGGUAAAAGCAUUAUGUUAGCAUCACUAAGAGAAUAUGGAGAUCUAUUAUACACCAUUACUUCUGCUCUUUCCUCUUUUUUAAUGAAUUGGUGUUAAUACUCUUGCUGGACAAGUCUUAUCCAGUUAUUAUUCCUCCUGAUGUCGUUACUUUUACUAAAUUACUCAUGUUGCUUUUCCCAGUUUUGCGACAGUUCACUUCUUGUUUUCUGUUUAGUAUUGGCGUAUUGACUUUGUAAUAGUACAAUACAGUAUGUUGGACUUUGGAAUAUUUGAAGAGUUAUUAAUAAGUCAGAUUAAAUGCUAAAAUAAUUGAUAGCUAUCUAAAUGGCUGAUGUGUUAUCAAAUUGUCAAUUCAUAUUGAAAAAGGUUUGCUGUUCCUAAAAACUGAAAAUGGAGGUAAAUUUUGACUAGCUUUGGUAGUAGAAUAUAAUGAAGCUGAAAUAUGUUUUGGUGCUAUUGCAGGAAGAUGAUGAACGCACUAUUGAGGAGGAUGAGGCUCAAAUUACAGAUUCUGAAAGAAGAGAAGAACUUAAAGCUUUGCAGGCAGAAGCAGAUCUUCCACUUGAGGAGCUUCUUAAGAGCUAUAAUGGAAAGACAGGUGAAUCCCAAGGUCUUUCAGUGGACAUUUUUGUUUUGUAUCAAAUUCAUAUGCACGUCAUCAUUCUUUCUGUUCCUUUUGGUUUCAUUUUUUCCAUAUUGCUUGGGGACUGUUCCAGUUGAAACUUCUGGGUUUAGAUGACUAAAUUUCACUUGUUAACUUCUAGAUUCUUGGUCUCACCCAACUAGAUCCAAGCACUGCAUUCUGCUUUAUCAAGUCAUAUCUGGCCGAACUGAUUUCUUGAUUGGCCACUUUGAGUCCAAUUGAACUAAAACUAUGCUAGAAACAUAGGUUUAAGAGUAAGAGGAUUAGUAACGUUAAUCUUCAGAUUUUGGAAGUCCUAAUUGUAUAAGUACGCUCUCUAUAAAUAUAUGUGCCCACUAUUCUCUAAUCUAGUAACGGGUCUACAUACUAGCCAUAUUUUAUUUUAUUUUAUUUUUUGCGAUUUGUGUUGAUUGGUUAGCUUGUGUUAUCUAUGAUACAAGGGUUGUCCAUUGAGGGCAAAUUGGUCGGGUUAAUUGUUGGCUUAAAUAACUUCCAUAUUACUUCCGUUAGCUGGAUUGGGCUGUAGAAGGAUGAUUGGAUCUAAGGAAAGUAUAGUAAGUAUAAAAAGAGAAAAAUGAACAUAAAAAAAUUAAAUGAGAGAAGGGCCUGGGCUGCCCUGAUCAGUUAAGUCAGAAUUUCUGAUGGAAACCAUUUUUAACCUCGCCUGACCUGACCAACAGCUGGUCAAAUGAUAAUGACCAAGCUUAUCCGACCUGCAUAUCCAACUUGGAUCAAGCCUUUGAGAUUGGAUCUGACUGAUUCAAUGGGCUGUGUGGAUGUUGCCAAACUGCCACCACCACCACUAAUCCUAUUAUGCACCAUUCGGUUCAUUUAAAAUUGCAAUUUGGGCCUGCUUUUGUGAUCUUGGUUUGAUUGGGUCAAAAUCAAUGUGCCCAUCUCAUGAUUUGUUAUCUGCUUCACCUCACACUAAGUUGUGAUCAAUUUAAACAUUCUCAGUUAGCAGGGAAGGCAGUCCAGAAGGUGGUAAAGAGUUGGCUAAGCCAAUUUUAAAGGAGGAUCAGAUUAAGGGUGAGAUAUAGUAAGUUGAAUGAUCGCAGUUAUUUUGAUGCCAUAUCUUAUUGCAGAAGUGAUUAAUUCUGAUUCUUAUAGUGGCUUUGCAGAUUCUUCAAAACAAGCAAAUGGUUAUAGUCAUGCUGUUGAGCAUUUUAUGAAUGAUAGUCAUCUUGAUGUGAAUUCCUCUGAUUUGGGGGUUGAGAAUAGGCAUUCGGCCUUUAAUUCCACUCAGCUUAAAUAUGUAAGUAUUCCAUCGUAUCCUUCUCAGGGGAUGUGAAUAGAUGUUGACUGAAUUUACUUUAAUUAUUGUGUCAGAGAGACAGUAAUGGUAAUAUAUCCUGCCAUGAUGACCAGAUGACAGCUGUGAAAUCAGAACUUACAUCUCAUUCCAAUUCUCUCAAUUGGUCUGAUAUGGAAUGUUCUCCCCCUGGUUCUGCUGAUGGAUUAGUAAGAAUCUUCCCCCAAACAUGAUACUUGCUAGCAGCUUACAUUCAUUUUUGCUCCUCCCUAUGUAUAUCGCCUUGAUGGACAUAUUGUUCUUUUUUCUGUUGGUUCUGCUUUCAUACUAUGUUCUUGCUCAUAUAUUUAAAUGAGUCCUGUCAGUUACUCAACGGUGUGCACAUAUGGUGAUUUUAUUUUUUCAUUAUCAUCUAGAUACUCCUUUUGAAACUUAUGUCCUUUAUUAUAUACAUAUUCAUAAUUGAGACAAAGGACAUGGCGGCCAUUUUAUUUGGGUGAGAAGUUACUCAAGCUAAUACUGAAUGGAGAACGAGGAACUACUAAGCCAACAGAACUUAACUGCUAUAUAAGGCUUUAUUGUUGUUUCUGCUCUAUAUUCGUAUUUGUAGCAAAGAAGACAGACUCUUCAAUGAUUAUGCUACUCAGUUCUCUGCAUAGAAUUUUCGUUGCAUAAAAAUAUGAGUAAUCUAGUUCUUCUAUAUUGGUUUCAGGAUUAUCAUGAUUAGCGGCAAAUUUAAACAUGUUAUAGUACUUGAGCCGGUUCAACAACAGAUGCCCCUUAUCUUUACUGCUUUACUUGCUGCAGUAUGAGACAAUGAGUUAAUUAUAAGAACUAUAAUUUGCUUCCUUAGAACUUAUUUGCUAUUUCAAUGCUUAUUAUGUUAGAAGAGCUAUGAUCUUAUUCUACAUUUCUGUUCUUAGUCACAUGUUGACUUUUUCAUUGCUUGAUAUGUCAGUCUUGCUGACUUGUCUACUUGUUGAGUCUUUCUUGUGUUGGCUAGUUUAGCAAUGAAGUGUAUCAAGUUUGGCGAUGAAGUGUAUCAAGUUUGGCCAUGUCUUUAACUUUUUGUUAUAUUGAGUAUAACUUCUUUUUUCAUGGAUAUAAGUAAUAAUAUCAUAUAAUGUGUUCUUCGACAGUCCUUUCGAAAACGCUUGUGCUUGUUUUUCAGCUGUUGUGAUGCUAUUGUUUUGCAUAUGUAAUCCUUCACUUUUGUUACGGAAGUUCCAUUUGUAGUUCAACUUGUGUUGCACUGUAAUGUAAUUUUCCUGCUACUUUGAUGAUGUGCCAGUAAAUGACCUACCUUCCAUUUUUCAGGAUGAUAAAGAUUUUAUUGUUGGUGAUGAAGAAGGAGAGGUAUUGUUGAUAUAUGAGCUUAUUAUAGUAUUGAGCUUCAUGCCACUUAAGUUGGGAAUUGACUUUUGAUUGUAAGCUAGAAACAAUAUCUUUCACUAAACAAUCUCAACGUAAACUGAGUGCCUAUUUGGCCCAGCUUUUGUUGCUUUGGCUUGCAGCAAUUAUCACCUCCAGCAGAGCAUUUGGCAAACAGAAUAUUCUGGUUUCUGCUGCAGCGGCAAUAAAAAAUGAGAUUCGGAGGCCCAAAAGCAGAAGUUCCAAUUUGGUGCUUCUACUUUUGGUGUAGAGAGAAUCUCUUGAAUGAAUCUUUAUAUAAUUCUUCUUCUAAAGUAAUACUUGAAUAACAUUUCAUCCAACAGCACCGUGUCCUGGAGUUGGCCCAAACGGGCUCUUACUAAGUCUAUCACUUUGUCAAUUCACAUUUGUAUAUGUAGAUGAUGAAUAGGAAAUUUUGGAAAUACUUGACAUGCCUAGGUAUUAAGGUAUAGUAAGUUCAUGUCCAAUAGUAUUGACUUUAGAAUUGGGUCGUAAUAUACAUUUUCGAGUGGGAACAAAUAUUUGUAAGAUAGAGGCAAACGAUCACUUUAGAAUAAGAUUAUAAUCUAUGCACUGAAAGGAUUUAUUCUGUUAUGUAAGCCAAGCCAACAAAGGUUCUGUUGAGCAUGAUCUAUGUGCUGAAAUCAUUCCAAGAUAUGAACAUAUAUAGCUUUGAGAUUCUAUUUGCGUGCCUGAAAAUAGCAUAAAUGAGCAAGAAAUAACCAGUAAACAAUGCUAAAGAUGUUUCUGCUCUAAAAUCCAUAUUGAUCAUGUGGGUUACACGACUAAAAAGGGGUAUAGCUAGAAACUGUUAAUUUGAGUUGCAAGCUGGUUAAGCUCUUAGUUCCAGCCAUGUACAUAUUGAUUGGACAUGUUUGACUUCCGCCGCUCAGUUCUAUUUACUUUGUUGUUACUUUUUCAUGCCUUUGUUCUCUACCAAAGGACAGUUUAUUAUUCUUAUAUUUUAUAUUUGGUCUAUAUGAUCUUCCAUUGUUGUCUUAAUUUGAUGGUAUCUAAUAGGAUGACGAGGCAACACUAUCGGAAGCAGAAGAGUUGGCAAAAAAAGAUAAUGCUAAUCCUGUGGAUGAGGUAUAGUUGCCAAUAUUUAUGGAUACUAAUUCUUUUCAAGAGCCAAUUUAUGCCAUCUUUGUUUUUACUGAUUGGUACUUCAGAUGAUAGGGUGUUUGUUAACCUAUAUAAGAAAUGAAUAUUCUCUACAAUACGCAUGUUUUUUUCCUUUGCAAGAUGCAGACAAAAUAAACAACCAAUUGCCCCUAAUUAACUAUUCGUGCAGAUAUGCAUCUUGUUCAUUAUGUGCACACGUGGCAUUAGAGAGUGGUCUACUGUAUGCAGACAUAUACAUAACAUAGUAUGUUAAAUUUGCUUUUGAGGACAUUAGAGAGAGCUUGUGACAUAAUUUAUAUUGUAACUAUUGUUCGUCAAUAUGGUGAUCCAGGUUCAUGUGGCAACAUUUGCGCUUCUUUUAGUUUCAUUCAGCUUAUUAUGGUUAAGACAGUCUUAUCAUAUGUGCAGUCUUAUAGAUUGUCCUACAUAUUUUGAUAUUGAUAAAAAUCUGAAAUUUCCUUUUAUUUAUUGGGUGUAUGUAUCUAUAUUAUGACUUCUUGUGGUCUACUCUUUUUCUUUAACCGACAGAUCAUGUUGCUUCAAAAGGAGAGCGAAAUGCCUAUAGAAGAGCUCCUUGCGAGGUACAGCAAGGUAUGAACCAACUUUUGCCUAAGUACAUAGUUAACUGAUUGCAGUGACAUAAUCAAUAACAUAUGUAUAUAUAUAUAUAUUUUUUCAUAUUUAGGAUGGCUAUUUGGAUGAUGGCAUAACAGAAUCUGAAUGUGCUUCUGUAAGUUCUGAUGAAGAUCAGGAAAUUCAACAUGGGAAUGCAAACCUUAUGAUGGACAGUAGUGCUUCUGAAAAGGACAACUCUACCUGGCCCAGUGAAGAACUACAUGCUUUUAAAGAGGAAGAGGAAGUAGAUCAUGAUAAGAUAACGGAGGGAAGAGAGAGUGAAGAUAUAAUCGCUGAUGCUGCUGCGGCUGCCAGAUCAGCACAACCAACUGGCAACACCUUCUCAACUACGAAAGUCCGCACAAAAUUUCCCUUCCUUCUUAAACACCCUCUUCGUGAAUACCAACAUAUUGGGCUGGAUUGGCUGGUCACAAUGUACGAGAAAAGGCUUAAUGGGAUUUUAGCUGAUGAGAUGGGGUUAGGAAAGACGAUCAUGACGAUUGCUCUCCUUGCCCACCUCGCUUGUGAGAAAGGCAUAUGGGGGCCCCACCUCAUAGUUGUCCCAACAAGUGUCAUGCUUAACUGGGAAACUGAAUUCCUUAAAUGGUGCCCUGCUUUCAAAAUUUUGACAUACUUCGGGAGUGCAAAGGAACGGAAGCAUAAACGCCAGGGUUGGUUAAAGCCCAACUCAUUCCAUGUGUGCAUCACGACUUACAGGCUUGUUAUACAGGAUUCAAAAGUAUUUAAGCGGAAAAAGUGGAAAUAUCUUAUUCUAGAUGAGGCUCAUCUAAUAAAGAAUUGGAAAUCGCAAAGGUGGCAGACUCUUUUGAACUUCAAUUCAAAGCGUCGGAUUCUGUUGACUGGAACACCGCUGCAGAAUGAUCUGAUGGAACUUUGGUCUCUGAUGCAUUUCCUCAUGCCUCAUAUAUUCCAGUCCCAUCAGGAAUUCAAGGACUGGUUUAGUAAACCGAUUUCAGGGAUGGUGGAGGGCCAAGAGAAGGUGAACAAGGAAGUGGUUGAUCGGUUGCAUAAUGUUCUUCGUCCUUUUAUAUUGCGGCGUUUGAAAAGGGACGUUGAAAAACAGCUUCCAAAGAAGCACGAGCAUGUUAUUUAUUGCAGACUGUCUAGACGGCAGCGGAAUCUGUACGAAGAUUUUAUUGCCAGCUCAGAAACACAAGCAACACUGGCCAGCACAAACUAUUUUGGGAUGAUAAGCAUUAUCAUGCAACUUCGCAAGGUAUGUAACCAUCCAGAUCUAUUUGAAGGCCGUCCAAUUAUAAGCUCAUUUGACAUGGCUGGUAUAGAUAUGCAGUUGAGCUCCUCUGUUUGUACUAUCCUUUCCACUGGCCUAUUUUCCAAGGUUGAUCUAAGAGUCUUGAAUCUUGUGUUUACCCAACAUGAUUUCAACAUGGCUUCAUGGGAGGCUAAUGAGGUUGCUGCAAUUGCUGCUUCACCUAGUAGUGUUGCUACAGAUGAAGACACAUUCUAUCCUGGUAACUAUGAUCAGAAGAGAAGAUUUCAUGGGACCAAUAUUUUUGAAGAGAUUCAAAGAGCUCUUUGGGAGGAAAGAGUGAAAGAGUACAAAGAAAGGGCCGCUUCAAUUGCAUGGUGGAAUAGGUUACGCUGCCAAAAGAAACCUAUGUAUGGAACCAAUUUCAGAGAGCUUGUCACUGUACAGCAUCCUGCAUAUGAUAUUCAUGAGAAGAAAAACAAGCCUUCGUGCUAUUUGGAAUAUCCAUCGACACUGGCAGAGAUAGUUCUGUCACCGGUAGAACGCUUCCAAAAGAUGCUCGAUCUUGUUGAAUCUUUUAUGUUCGCAAUACCAGCUUCGCGGGCCCCUGUGCCCGUUUGCUGGUGCAGCAAAGGAAAGCCCGCAGUUUUCUUCGAACCAUCAUAUAGAGAAAAAUGUAAUGAAGUGUUUUCCCCCCUUCUAUCCCCCAUCAGACCUGCCAUAGUCCGCCGGCAAGUGUACUUCCCCGAUCGUCGUCUGAUACAGUUUGAUUGCGGGAAGUUGCAGGAGCUUGCUAUCUUACUAAGACGUUUGAAAACAGAAGGCCACAGGGCCUUGAUAUUUACUCAGAUGACAAAAAUGCUUGAUGUUUUGGAGGCAUUCAUUAAUUUAUAUGGUUAUACUUAUAUGCGUUUAGAUGGGUCCACUCAACCGGAAGAGAGGCAGACUCUAAUGCAGCGUUUCAACACUAACCCAAAGAUCUUUCUUUUUAUCCUAUCAACUCGUAGCGGCGGCGUGGGAAUUAACCUGGUUGGGGCAGACACUGUUAUUUUUUAUGAUAGUGACUGGAACCCUGCGAUGGAUCAACAAGCUCAAGAUAGGUGCCACAGAAUAGGUCAGACUCGAGAAGUGCACAUCUAUAGACUCAUCAGUGAGAGUACUAUUGAAGAAAAUAUUCUUAAGAAAGCAAAUCAGAAACGCGCUCUUGAUGAUUUGGUCAUACAAAGUGGCAGUUAUAACACAGAGUUCUUCAAGAAACUUGAUCCAAUCGAACUCUUUUCUGGGAAUGGAUCACUUCGUUUGGAAAAGCUGCAAUUGUCUAAUGCUGAUGUGGAAGCUGCUAUAAAGCAUGCAGAAGACGAGGUUGAUUAUAUGGCUCUCAAAAAAGUAGAGCAGGAAGAGGCUGUGGACAACCAAGAGUUUACUGAGGAGGCCAUUGGACGGUUAGAUGAUGAUGAGCUUGUCAAUGAGGAUGAUACGAAGCUUGAUGAUAAAUUUAAUGAGGAAAGGAAGGGGGAUGUUUCUAAACCUGGAUGUAAUGUAAAUGAAGAAAAAGCACUUGCUUUGGCUGAAGGAGAUGAGGAAAUCGACAUGCUUGCCGAUGUUAAGCAGAUGGCUGCAGCAGCAGCUGCUGCUGGGCAUGCUAGUUCAUGUUUUGAGAACCAGCUUCGACCGAUUGAUAGAUAUGCCAUGCGGUUUUUGGACCUUUGGGAUCCGAUUAUUGAUAAAUCCGCCAUGGAAUAUCAGGUGAAUGUUGAAGAGGAGGAAUGGGAGCUUGAUCGUAUUGAGAAAUUUAAGGAGGAUCUAGAAGCUGAGAUUGAUGAAGACCAGGAACCCUUAGUGUAUGAGAGUAAGUAUUCUUUUUCCUAGUAUGAAUUUUACCUUGAAAUAUUUUCUUUCUGAUUUUUUUUGUCCGCAAUUAGUGUGGUCAUUUUCUCAUCUUUCACUAAUUGCUUAAACCAUUCCUGCUUGUUAAUGUCCAUUUAUCUCUUUAUAGAGCGCUAAAUUCGCACUUCAGUAUAGCAAUGUCAAAGAAAGAUUUACAUUGUCAGGCUGUACUUCUAUUUUAUCAUAAUGAAAGACUAAGAAAUGUGAUUUUUUUAUUUAGGAUGGGAUUCUGAUUUUGCAACUACAGCGUACCGCCAACAUGUUGAAGCUUUAGCUCAGCGUCAGGUAUGCACUUGCAUUUCUCCUUUUUCCCUUCUUUCCUACUUGCAGUGGUCUGAAGUGGUGUUGCAUUUGCAGUUGAUGGAAGAACUAGAAUAUGAAGCUCAGGAAGCAAAAGCCGCAGAGGAUGAAGGCGGUGAUGAUAUGAGGUAAGGAAGUUUUGUAAAGUUUUGCUUCCAAAUAUUGGGUUCAAACCAUUUAUAUACCAUAUCGAAUAUCUAUGUUAGUUCCCUUCAACAUAGUGAAUCAGGUGAGAGAAUUUAUGUUCAUCUCAUGAUCUUUCUAUUGCAAUUUCUUCUUUUGAAUGCUGGUUUUGAUUCUAAAUUCACUAGUAAACUGCUGUUCCUAAUUUUGUGGUUCUUUUUCUCCCCUCUAGAGUACAUCCUUAAAAUUAUCUAACAAGUCUAAUAGCUGUGACAGGGUUGGGACAACUGUGGAAUGCAAACCCAAGUUAAAAAAGAAGCAGAAAAAGAAGAAAUUCAAGUCUCUUAAGAAAGGAUCUUUAGCAUCUGAUUCGAAAAUUGUGCAUCAAGAAGCGAUAUCAGAUUCUGAGCUUGCUAAUGAUAAGGCUCUCUCACCAGAAGUUAUUUAUGCUGAAUCACCUACUCCGUCUCCUAGAAAGAAGCGUAAGAAGCCUACAUUUACAUCUGAUGAAGAGAACAACCCAAACAAAAGCUCAAAAAAACUCAAGAAAGUAUCUAAGACCACUUCUGUAGCAGAUUGUGGGUCGUCCGUUAAGCAACUGGUGGCAGCCAAGGAAUCAAAGUUGGGAGAUGGGGCUAAUGAUCUUGAUCCGAAACCAGUUGCUAAAAUCAAGACGGGGGGCAGAAUAUCCAUUACAUAUUUACCUGUAAAACGAAUUAUGGUGGUCAAGCCAGAAAAGUUAAGGAAGAAGGGGAAUACUUGGUUCAAAGAUAGCUCUCCAGAUUCUUGGUCAACACAGGAGGAUGCCAUACUGUGUGCAGUUGUGCACGAGUAUGGUACACAUUGGAGCCUUGUGAGUGACAUACUUUAUGGCGUGCCAGGUGGUGGGUCCUACAGAGGUCGAUUUCGUCAUCCUGUCCAUUGCUGUGAGAGAUUUCGAGAGCUGUUCUUUAAGCAUGUCAUCUCAUCAGUGGACAGCACGGAAAAGGUUUCUGCAUCUGGAAAGGCUCUAUUAAAAGUAACCGAGGUAAUUAGCAUUCUAUGUUCUAUACUGUUGAAUAACAAUAAUUAUAGGAAUGGUUUGCUAUGAUAUCUGUUAACUGUAAUUUAUAGUAAAAUAGCCUUUCUAUACACGAUAGUGAAAUCCUAUUACAUUGCUGAAGUUUUCUUUAUUUAACCAUUUACACUGCCUUUAGUUCUCAGUUUUUAAGGCUUGAAUUGCAUUUAUGAUGCAAAUUAUUACGUUAGAAUCUUGACUUUCUUUUUUGUGUAUUAGUUUUUUGUUUCAUGGCUAGCCCAUAUCUUUCAUAAAUUUGCCUCGCCAAGAUGUUGAUCUCAAUAUCUGGAGGGUUGCCAUUUGAUUUGCAGUUUGUUGAAGUAUAUUUCUGUGGAAGUGUUGCAUGGUACUCGCGCUGAUAAAAUGAUCAUAAUUUCUGGUAGUGAUUUGAGCACAAGUAGAACCAGUUUAUUAAUGGGCAAUAAUUACUCUCUGUAUACCAUGAAAUUGUAUGAGUGCAAAUUAAAUUGCUAAAAGCAUUAUGAAACACCCUGCUCUUGUUAUUCACUUAUUGACUUGGUUACUUGUGCAACCCUUUUUGUACAAAACAUUUCAGGCGUUAUAGAUUACGAUGUUAGAGAAAAUAUAGUGAGUUAACUAAUUAGUUUGGCAGGAUCAAGUACGGAUUUUGCUGAAUGUGACUAGUGAGCUGCCCGACAAUGAAUUGCUUCUCCAGAAACAUUUCUUCGCCAUACUUUCUUCUGUAUGGAGAGCAAAGUGGCCCCUCGAACUUCACCAGUCCAUACCGUGCUUGCGAAGUGAUUUAUAUUCUUGUAGGCUUCUCUCGGACCCUAAUAAGUCCACAAGACUUACAGAAAACGUGACACCAAUGAAUACUAGACCAAAUAGUAGACUAGUAAUGAUGGCCCUUUCUGAUGUUAGUAUGCAACGUCAGGAGGAACCUGUAGUUCUUUCAAGCAAGCUGGAGGCUCACAUCAACCAGCUGGAAUUAACUCUGGAGUUCCCUAUGGAAAAUUCUGAUAAUGACUUUGCCUUCCCACCAUCUGUCAGCAUUUCAGUUAGCGGGCAAGAACAACUUCAACAGGCUGAAGAACCUGUUGGACAAUGUUUGUUAGCAGCAUCUUCAUGUAGAAUUGCUGAGAAUAGAUUCAGGUAUGCUUUCAUAUAUAAGUUCCGCUAUUGCUUCCUUUGUCUUUGUUUUUGGUUCAUUGUGUUUGUAUAUCAUGCUUUUAUAUUAUAUGAGAGAUGGGGUAAAACUAUAUCAUCCAUAUAUUCUUGACGCUUGAACAAGUGCAUCUUUAUUGGUCCUUUGUUCAUUGUCGUGGAAAAUGUGGGAGAAUCGGGAUUAGAAGUCAACCUAGCGUUGUUCAACCUUUUUAUUUUCCACUUUGGGGUUGCUGAUGACGCUCUGAUUUUCUAUCUCAUUUGGAUGUUAAUUUGCCUUUGUGUGAUGUUCCCUAAUCAGGGUCACUCAGUUUACCUUACGUGGGCCUGAACCCCAAUGAAAUGGUCUCAACACAUUUUUUAGCUAAUCUACCUCAUCGUACUUUAUGAUCUCUGUUCCAUCAUCUUUGCAGAAUGGCAUCAGAAGCUUGCUUUGAAGGUGAGGGAUCUCUUUGGGCGUUAUCAUCAGCUUUCCCCACUUGUGACGUAUCUAGAUAUAGAGCUGGCUCAAAGUCCCUCUCUUUGGGCAAGCACAAGUUGGCAUUUGAUUCCUCUAGACCUCCAAAAUCCAAAGUACAAAAGACCAUUGAAUCACAUGAAGAAGGUUUGUUUUCAGUCAGCAAAUGCCUCCUUCCUUCACCCCAACAAAUUUCCACCAGUACGACAGGGUACUGCAUAAACGAUGAACCUCUGUUACCUUCAAUGAACUCACUUCUUGAAGAGAUGGGAAGUUUAGAUUUAGUUCAGCACGAGUAUGAUCCUAGUUUCCUUGCUGGCCUCGAGGAGCUGGAAUUAGUUUCAGAGUUCACAGACAUAGGAUGAGAUUUCUUGAAUUUGGUUUUUCCAGGUGAUAAAGCCACCAGUAUAGAGAGGAAAAAUCCGCGUUUUGCUUUCAUGCCGAGCGGCAAAGGAUGGAGCUGUUUAUUGGCCGUGUGCGUGUUUGUGCACUUUGGUCACGCUAAGUAGUGACGGGCAUAUCAAGCGGAUGAAACAGGAGGGGUGGUUAUGUGAUUAGGCCGGAGAAGGGCGGGGUAGGCUUAGGUAUGGCUGGGAGAAUUGGGUGUUUACAGAUUCAUGUAUAGUGGUGGUAGAUUAGUUUCUGAUGGAUGUAAUAUAACUUCCCUCCGUGUACUCAGGGAAAACGUUGUAAUUCUAACCACAGGAAAAUCCUUGUUUUUUCCCGGGAUUUUUGUCGGGGGUGAUUGCCGACGGAAAAGAUAAGGUAAGAGUUUUUUAAAUUAUUGAUAAGAAAAAUUUCCUUCACUUUUUUGACUGAUGGGAAUGAUGGGAGGGUAUUUUUGAACUCAGCCAUGCUGAGGAAUAGUCAACAGCUGAGUAUGCUCAAAAUAUACGCUAUGGCAACUUUUGCAUGUCUCAGUUAUUUCUAUCGCAAUUGUAUGCUCAACAGCAGUAAAUUAUAUAUGGAUCUAGAUCCCGUGUCAUUGCUGCUGAAAAUAUGCAUUCUUUCUGUUCAGUAUUUUGUUUUUAUUUCUUUUUUUUGUUGUUGAUUACGGUGUGUUUACUGGUGCUUUUUAUGGUUGAAAAGGAGAAACUUUAUUCAAUUAGCAAUCUUUGGCUGAACAAAAGGGAUAUAUACAGAUGUGUAUUGGUGCUUGAUGCGCCAAAGGCAUCGCAAGUUGACAGAUACUGCUGUCGGCUGUUAUACAGAAAGUAAAUUAUUUUGAGAUUUUUUUUUUUUUUUUUUUUGAGAAAAAGGUAGCACGCUACCUGCUUCAUUUAUUUUGAGAAAUUUUAUUGUGCGCCUUUUUAAUGCUUAUCUAGUUUCAUGAAUAGCCGUCAAUCACAUCUUACCUAGUUAAUAUGUAUUUUGUUGAGUUGUAUGACCAGUUCAGUUUAUUGAAAGCGGCAAUUUUAGUUUCCUUUCUGUGCCUGAGUGGGCGAUGGGAGCUGUUGGGGCUGAGCUGUCCACACUGCAUCAUCCCUUCCCUUGUUCAAGGUGCAUGCUGCAUGAUCCUCGCUUUUUCAUUUUUGCUCUAUCUCGUUACAGUUUAAUUGUAUUUUCCUCAUAUCAUGCAGCUGCAAACUGUGGAAACAGCUCAAAAAUUCAAGGUGUGAAUUUAUUUAUUAAUUUAGUUUUGUUUAGCAAUACUUUCGUAAUGGCGUGGCGUGACUCCCUGUGUUUUAAUCUUGUUGUUUAGUAAUAUACUUUCGUUGGGACAAAGAUAGGCUCCAUGUAAGACGGAAAACCAAAUUCAGCCUUGACAUAAAACAUAUUACAAAGCGAGCAGAGCUCCUCGCUUGUCUCUGGUAAGGAAAAGGAAAGAACAUCCAUCCAUCUAUAUGCUCCUAAAUGCAAGAGGGGGAGGGGAGGUAGGGGAGGCAAAAAUCUCUCUUCCUGCUUUCUACUGACUUGUGUUUUUUUCUUUUUUGGUGGUUUUUUUGGUAUCUUUCUGUCAAUUUCCUUUAUGACUGUUGGUGAUCUUGCUCCUAGAGAAAAGGUUAGUCUCGAAUGGUAUGUUAAAUACUGACUCGAGGAUGGGGGCUUUGUUGUUUCUAAAGGUACUGAGCCUGAAUUCUCUCUCUGUUCUCCUCCCACCACACCUUGGCAUGCAUCUCUCCGAACCUCUCCCGGCUGCAGACAUGCAAAGUACGACCAACCAAUUUACUACACUGGGUUAACGGAGGCUGUCAAACAUUGGCUGCGUGAGAAUGAGAAAUUUACCUGAAUCGGACCCGACGGAGCUCCCGAGUGCCGUCGGCCAACUCCCUGAUGGUGAUGUACACGCCGGGCUCAUCUUGCUCGACCCACUCUGUCGCCUCCAGCUCGCUCGCGUUGCUGAUGGAGAUCGAGGCUUCGUCUCUAGACGACGUGGUGGUUCUCGAAGCAUCCACCGACGACGUCUCGACCUUCACACCUGAAGUGCCUGCGGCGGAGGCGCCUCCUCCAAUACCGAUGCCAGCAUGGAGGGUGUUGAGGAAAGGAGGGAAGAUGUGAUCAGAAGGAUCCGGCACUGUCGACGGAUAGUAGUACGCUGCUUUGCCGUAAGCAGUUGGCGGCUGCGGCUGCGGCUGCGGCUGCGGAUGUCUGUGUGCGCUCCGAGAGACCAUCCGCUCUUUGCCCGCAGAAGGCAGAGGAUGAGGAGGCGUCGGCAUCCCGGGGCUGCCUCUGGUAGAGCCCACCCGAGAGUAGAACGAUUCCCUCUGCCAAAACGAAGAAGAAAGAAAGACGCCUCUCUUGAGUGCAUCAGACAAGCAGUUUGCGUUUCUAAUGAAUAAGCCGGCGCUUUAAUCAGACUAAAGUGCCGUUGCUGCUACUAUUACUAUAUAAUAAUGGUAUAGGGCUACUAAGAGGGACUCACAAGACCGAGAUGCAAAGGGAAUCAUCGACUCACUGGGCUCGGAUUUAAUUUGGAUGGAGCAACCACUGUCCCUCAGAAUACCCCCCCACUCUUUUUUCAGAGUCCCAGUAGGCCAGUACCAGCAGGGGUUAUAUAAUUCCUUUUGCAUCACUAUUAGCUAAAAUCUAGCCGAAGGGGGUCCAACCAGUCAAUCAAUAGUGCGGGGCCGUGGAUGGUGAGAGGCGAGCUAGCUGGGCCUUGUGUAGUGGGCGGGCCCAGAGAUAUCAGGAGUGGCAUUAUUAUUAUUAUUAUUAUUAUAUAUAGUAAUAAAACGAAUACGAUACGAUGGAAUUAAAGCUACACAGCGUAAAGCUCCAAAAUAUAUAGUGAAUGAACGGGAACGAACGUACGUCGCCGUCGUCGGAGCGGGGCGGAGUUGGGAGAGCCUGGCGGCUGAACCUCUGGACGUUGUAGAGCUCCAUGAUGCGGUCGUAGUUCUCCCCCCACCACCUCUGCGCCUGCCACUUGUUGAACAUCUCCCGGCUAUAUAUUCGUUUUUUUUUUUUUUUCGGUUCCCCAAAAAAAUAACAAUAACAUUAAUUAGUACGUGAGUAAUUAUUAAUUAUUAUUACUAAAUAAUUAUACAACAUAUGACAUCCCCCAUCAGAUUACCAGUGACAGUAGUAUCAACUACAGAGGAUAUAUAUAGAAUAAGAAGAAAAAUGCAAGUAAGCAAAAGGAGAAUAACCUGAAUCGGAUACGCUUGAGGUCGUUGCCGGCACCGGCGGGGAGGGAGACGAAGGUGAUCUGGACGCCGGGCUCUACCUGGGCGGUCCACUCCUUCGGCAAUCCGUCAUCCUCCAUCACCACCACCUCCGCCGCGGCCGCAGCCGAGCCCCACUGCGUCCUAUACCUCGAAUCCUCCCAUCGGCCGCCGCCGCUUCCGCCGACGUUUGUGAAGUCCCACGCCGGCGUCGAGCUAGAGCUAUACGCGUACCCACCCCCUCCCCCUCCCCCUCCCCCUCCUCCGGCGUCGGAGAAGGCUCCCUCGUCCUCGUCGGUGCCCGGGUAGGAGCCGCUGCGGUGGAUGCGGCGCUGGUUGUGGAAGCUCUUGGAGCGGAACGACGAGCUCCCGGCCGUGCCGCCUUUGCAUUGGCGGUGCGAUCCGGAGAACUUCAAUACCAUAUCCUUCAGCUGUUAUCAGUUCCCAAUCCAAUGCAUGCAUGAUCAGAAGCACGUCACGUAAUUUGGGUUUUAUUAUUUUUUACUUAGACUUUGACUUUGAAUUAAGAAUUAACGAUGACGACACUAUAUAUAUAUAUAUAUAUAUAUAUAUAUAUAUAUAUAUAUAUAUAUAUAUAGGCCUUGCUUAAGGGCUUAAUUAUAUAAUAGAUGAGCUUAAGCCAGUACGCUAUAUGAGCGUAACAAGUAAUGAUGAUUCAAUCUCAGUUUAGGGUCGACACAACUAGGCUAGCUAGCAGCAAAUUAUUAUUAUAAACGUUUUUGGUGGGACAACUACGGCUUGACCUACCCUCAAUGUCUCCCCCAUUUAAGCAAUUUAAGCAAUAAAGGUGGUGACUGAUGCCCACGGAACAAUGUGAAUGCAAAACAAUGCGACUGUUCUCCGUAUGGAUUACAAAUUAUACGCUCGCAUCAAUUGCUCUGAUUAGGGGAGAAAAGAAACCCCGCCCAGCCCCAUUCAAUUUGGUUAAAAGUCAUCUAGUAGAAAACCACGCCACAGAUGGACAAAAUGCCAAGCAUUGCAAAAGGCAUAAUGCUUCGCAACCGACGCGCGUGCUGGAAUCAGUAAAACAGCAAGGAUGCGUCAAUCUCAAGUCACCAUAUCUAUUCAUAAAAAUUUAAUUAUUAAAUUUUAUAUAUAUAUAUAUAUAUAUAUAUAUAUAUAUUAUAUUUGGGCUUGGAUUUCUAGCCCAUGACAGGUCUAUUUGUGUAUACUCUUAUAGGGCAUAGCAGCAUAGUAGUUGCAUAGGAAGGACCACUUGUGUCUUAAAUGAAUGGACCGGGCCACUUUAUUCUUUUCGUGGGGAUGGGUGGAUGUGUCCUUUGCAACAUCCAACGGAUCUCUUUCCACCCACAUCUACUAAUCCUCCACCCUACUCACACUCUCUCUCUUUUUCAAAAAGCCCCUCUUCAAUAGAGAGAGAGAGAGAGAGAGAGCAAAUCACGAUAAGCUGCUUCUUUAGGACGAGAGAAUAAAUUAAAUUAAAAAAAAGGUCAAAAGUAAAAAUAGAGUACUACUCCAGUCCCCCCUUCAUACUCCAUCAUCCAUAGUCCAUCCCCACUCUUUUUGGGGCGAACAUCCAAAAGCCUCUGUCUCUCUCUCUCUCUCUGUCUCUCUCGUUUCUAGAGAUCCGCCCCUCUCCGAACCUCACCGCGAGGUGGAAUAUGAAUGACAGAAAGGGACCUUCCUUGCGUCCUCUCCCCCCCCUUGACCGACCUUUUUCCCAUAUCCCCAUUCCACCUUUUUUUUAAUAUAUUUUUAGUUAUUUCAUAUUUAAUGUUCUCGUUUAUUAUUAUUAGCCUGCAUCCUGUUUGCUUCAAAAAUGCCUAAUAAAGAAAAGGACAUAUCGAUGUUAAUGCGCGCGCUCGCUCUCUCUCUCUCUCUCUAUAUAUAUAUAUAUAUACAUAUAACAUCACCUAAUUUAAAUGCCACAUAGUAAAGUGUGUCAUGCGCUACUAAAAUGUGUGUGUGUGUGUAGCAGGCCCUGUACACGGAGUGUGUGUAUAUAUAUAUAUAUAUAUAUAUAUAUAUAUAUAUAUAUAUAUGUCAAAAGCAGGCCCUGCACACAGAGUAGUGGGCUAGCCUGGCGGGGGAGGGGGACAGGUCGCAAAACAGGCUACGUUUGGGGCAUUGGGCAAGUAAAACUGGCGAGGUGGGGUCAGAUCAGGUCUUGGUCAGGUCAGGUUAGGUUCUUCUUGGUUUUGAUCAGCUCGGUCGUUUUCAAUCCCUCCGGGUAACGCACUGCACGAUUCGACCCCCAUCACCACUUGUGGGCCCCCACAUGUCAGCCUUAAACCCCCCGAUUAUGAAUAUCUCCGCUUAUAUAGAAACAAGAAUAUAAUUACCUAUAACAAAAUGCUAUCUAUCCGUACCUCCGUAUUAUAUAAAGUGUAUUAAUUCAACCACUCCUGCAUUCAAAAAUUGACAAAUCUUUAAAAUUUCAGUAAUUAAAAAAAAUGACAAGACAAAUAGGUUAAUGUGGUUAUGUAUGUAAAAUUUAUAUUCUAGUACAGAAUAUAUAGAUAGCAUUAAUUUUAUAUAUAUAUAUAUAUAUAUAUAUAUAUAUAUAAUAGAAAUAUAGAGUAUUAAUUAAUUAAUUACUCAUGCAAGACUAUUUAGUGAGCGAGUUAGUAGUGAGUUAAAGAGUGUAGGAAUAUAUAUAUAAAUAUAAAAUAAUAAUAAUAAAAACAUGCCUGGGUGGUGAGGGAUUUGACGGCAUCUUUGGUACUGGGCGUCGCCGCAGCACGCGCGCUGUCCUCUCCGCCUUCUUUCGUGCACGCGAUGCAGGCCAACAUCUUAUCCUACAAUUGAUCAAUUCCUGAUCCCUACUCCCGAUCCCUGAUCUCUCUCUCUCUCUCUUCUUUUCCGAUCCUGCCCCUGCAACAAUUAAAAAAAAGAAAAAAAAAAAGAGACCACAUUUACAUCUUUACCCUCUCCUCCAAAGGAUCGCAAAAACCAUUCGAUAGGGCAUUUAGGUCAUCUGACCGAAAACAAAGUUUCUUUCAAUCCCGUCCCAAAAUUCCCGGACACUGGGGGAGGGGUGGGGGGGAAUCGAAUUAAGCGGAGGAGACGAGGGGGAACGGGAAACGGGAAACGGGAAACGGGAAACGGAGAGGAGACAGAGGAGGACGCCAGGAAAUAGACAAAUCUCCCGCUUCCGAAUUUCGACGCUGCUCACCACCUCGCAGAGGAACAGCAUAAGACACACUGUACGCGCACGGGCCCAUCUCCAGUGAGGAAACAGCCACCGUUAAUUCGAUGGGACCCAUCGCGAUGGACGGUAGCGGAUAAUGCUAUAGCGUACUACAACGUCUAUAGAUAACAAAAUGAAAUAUAUUUCGAGGGAGCAUCCCCUUAAAUAAAUAUAGUACUUACUACUGCAAAAUAGAAUAAGAUGAGAUAUAAUAGAUUGAUCCGAGUAAAAUAUUGGGUACGCGAUAGAGAAGGUUCUGUUGGGAGACCUCCCAUGUAUGAGAUUUACGCCCCCCACACUCUCUCUCUCUCUCUCUCUCUCUCUCUCUCCUCGGAAACAGUUGCGGCGCGAUCUCCGAGGAUGGAGAGAGAGGGGGGUAUGGAGUGGGGGAAUGGGGCCCAGUGCUUCCCGACCUAUGGUAAUGGAAUCUCUAUCGCGCGGAUCGGCUAAACAGGUAGGUCUCUCUUUUUCCAUUAUCUCUUUCUCUCUCUUUCCUUCUCUGUCCCCUGCUCCCCUAAUGAGCUAUUACUAUUACUACCGCUUGCAUGCUAGAGCUGCGCCAGAGGAGAACAGCAGCAGCAGCAGCAGCGGCAGCAGAGAUAUAUAUGCAUGGGUAACGCAUCACAGAGGCGCUGCUGCAGUGUCGCAGCAGCACGGAGAGUUUCAUUUCACAACCGACAAAUUAAUUAACUCCUAUAUAAUCUCUAUUAAAUUAAAUCUAGUAGGAGUAAAUUUUGAUCAGUGGAUAAAAAACGAGCACUCACCGCGGCUCCACGCCGACACGAGAUUUGGCUUUCCCACGCUCAACUAUUCCUCCAUUUGGAUAUCGAAAUUCUUGCACAAAGUACCUGAAAAUUGUCCGAAUCAAUGAAAAGAGACCACAUGAACAGGAGACGAGAAAUGUCGAAAUCUCCAAAAACACACCCAACGAAGCAGAGGAGAAAAAGGAAGCAAAAUAUCCGAAUCGGUGAAAUAAAGCGACGAUAUACUCAGAUCUGAUCAAAAUGCGAUCGAAUUCGAAAUGCGACCUAACUUACCUCUUUGAUCUUCGCUUCCUCUCUCCAAGAACUCACCAGAAUGGGAUGGACGGGGACGGAACCCUAACCUCGCUUAUAAAUAAUAACCCUCUCCCCCCCCCGCUCUCUCUCUCUCUCUCUCUCUCUCUCUAACUUGUAACUCCAACUAAAAUGGGGGGAUAGAAAGAGGGGAGGAGGUGGACACGCGGCGAGAAUUGGGGAAGGGGAAAUCCGAGGGGAUCUGUGGAAUGCGGCUCUUCAAGUCGGCGGAUUGGAUCCAAAUCGCGACGAGAAUUCGGCGCGGGUUCGAACGUGGCCCCAAAACGGAAACUCUGCUCUCCCCGUCUUCGGUUUUCACGUUACAGCCCAAAUUAGCAGCACAAGCUAUACUUAAAGGCGCCCCUCUCCGUCCUCACCGCCUACUUAUAGCCUCCUUAACGGCCGUUUUCUUUUCCGUCGCAUUCCUGAACCAGUUGAAGUGCUUUUUCGCUUAGCCACCGUCCGCCACAUAAUCCGUAGACCCCUCCUCUGCGAUCCGAUCAAUGCCUCGCGUGGUCUGCGGAUGAUUUGAUCGACUCGGUGCAGGGAGUGAUUUGGAGUCGAUCUGAGUCGUUCGUUCUCUGAGCGAAGCGCAGAGAUGAGCGGUCAAAUCUUGCGAUGGGUCCCAUCGGACGGACACUAGCGUUCGAUUGUGUGGGCCCCAAUGAUGGGCGUACGGAGACGACGGGGCGCAGGGGCACUAUUGAUUUCUACGUCUCGAUCGCAUGGAGCGGAGGAUGCGCGCAAGUGCCGAGUUCCGUUAUUCGAUCCCGACCGUCCGAUUAGUCGAGCGAACCUCACGGGGUUGGAAACCGAUCGCGAGGUAUCCUGCGAAAUUGGACGGCUAGGAUGUCUAGGCGUACGGAGGGUAAUAAAUUGCUUAAGGAAAUGCAACACGAGAUUUGACGUGCUUCUUCUUUGUUGACGCGAGUUGUCAUAUCCUCCCUUCAGAGUUUGACGGUGCAGAUCAACAGUUAACCCCCAUUUGAAUGGGAUCUUUUAUUCAUACGAGAGUGCAUUGUUUGUUUUUUUUUUUUUAUUUUUUUUUAUACUUUUUUUUUACCCUCUUAGCCCUCAAACCAUCGUAAGAGAUGUUUACUGGAUUGAUUUGAAAGUUCAAUUGAGUUUGAUUUAUACUAAAAAAUUCAGCACUAUAACCAUAGACUCUAGUAGACUCAAAUACCUGCGCUAAACCUAGAUAAGAACCGGGAUCCAAAGAGAAAAGUUGUGAGUUGUGACGAACCUAUUAAAUCCAAAAAUUUAAAUUGAUAAUUUUGAAAAAAAUUGUGUAUAUAAUUAAUAAUAUAAAAUUUUCUAGAGGGCUCGGGCGCAAACUAAAAACUUCAGCUGAUAGGUGUUUUCUAUAUAUAUAUAUAUAUUUUUGAGAAUUAGAUAGCGAACUAUCUGCUUCAUUUAUUAGAAAAAUAAAUUAGAUUUAUAUAAUGGAAGCAGCCAAGGCUUCCAAAGGAUGGAACAAGAUGGAUGAGACAAAACAAAAGACGAAUAAGACAAAAAACAAAGUUUAGAAAAAAGCGAAGUACGGGAGAAGGAAGAGCUACUACUACUACUACAUGUACUAUAACCACCACUAUAGCAACUGCUACUAUUACUACUACUACUACUACUACUACUACGUUUUCCAAUCGGCCAUCAGCAGAUUGACACGGUCUAAAGCUCGGGAAGGAUUAGUUUACUUAGCACGGAAGAGGAUGUUGUUUCUCUCGGUUCAAACAACCCACCAGACGGUCGAAAGUAGAGACAAAACUUGUACUCUCUUCUGUGUGUCAGCAAGGAUGCAAACUUUUGUCCAGAGGUUUCUAACAUCCGUCGAGGGUUUGAUGCGAGAUUAUUUGGUUGGAGACUAAUUAAAGAGUGUCGGUCACACAAUAAUGCCAUGCGUGCUGAUCAACAUUUCAUUUGAUAUUUUAUAGAGGACUAAGAUUCUUAACAAAACUAACAUUCUUAACGAAAAUAUUUUUAGAUGUUAAUAACUUGAUUAACCAACAAAGAAAUCUUCUUGAUGUUGAGUUUUUUUUUCUUUUUUUAGCACGUGACUCCUACAAUUCCGCCCUAUUUUAGUGGAGGGAGACAAGGGAAAAUAACUUAGCAUACCAUAUUAAUUUCAAGUGUCCGAUAUGCAAGUACAACCAUAGCUCCAACAAAGUGUUCCUUUAAUUCAAAUCGCCAAUAAAUGAAUACCUGAUCUGUCUUGACCACUUGAUUAUGUUGAUCGUUCGUAGUCUCUUGGGAAGCUAUCUUAAAGAGACCUAUUGGUUGGAGAGGGCAAAAGCCAAAAGGUAAGCUAAAGAAGAAAAGUGGGUCCUGAUAAUCUAGCAUGAAGUUCAGAAACUUUCAUAAUUGUUAAGUCCAUGUGUUCUAAAGGAGUAAUGCUAUAAUAGAUUACAAUUUUUACACCAUUUUAUUUUGCUUAUAUAUAUAGGGGGGUAAAGUAGUUUAAUUGGUUAGCAAUUAUAAUUCACGAAAAUAAAAAUUUAAUUUAUGAAUAAAAUAAUAGUUAUAGUAGCAAAAAAGAACUAAUACGAAAGUGCCGUGUUGAAAUACGCAAACAGCUAAAAUUUGUUUGUUGUGCAAAAUACUUUUUCAUUUUGAAAUCAAAAUGAAGAAGUAGAAAAAGAUAAAAUGCUAUCACUAUUUUACUUCGUAAAGAUCCAAAAAAAAAACACAAAAAAUAAAACAACUUAAAAACACAAACGAAAAAGAUGGCUCCGUCUUGCUGCAUAUUUUGGUUCCAUCAAUUGGAAAAGAGUAAUGCUAUGCUAUGGUACAUUUAUAUGCAUGUCAAAUAAUUAGCUGAUCCAAUUUAGAAGCUCUCUGUGGAUUUUUAAAGGAAUGGCCCAAACAGUUUUAAUAUAUAUGUCAAAGAUUUUGAGCAUAUAAUACGAAUGCGUGUCAUCUCAGACUGUCAAUGAGUAACACGCUUAAUUAUUUUCAUAGUUGUACUUUAUCUGAUUAAUAUCCGUCAACUUAAGAGACCGUAUCAUUUUUAGUCAAUUAUGUGCAGGUUUGAAUGUUGUGUCACAUUUACUAUUUUUUAGGGCGCGUCGGGUUCGCAUUACAAAAGAUUUCUAGGAAUAAAAAGAUGUCUAAAAAUUUUAUUCUUAUUCAUCUUAUUACUAAGAAUAUGAUAUUUAUGUGAUCGGUUCGUACGGUCAUAUUAUUUAAGAUUAUAAAAAAUAUACAAUUUAUUUAUUUAUUUUUUUAAUUAUUUUUAGAUAAUGCUAUAAAAAAUUUCAAUAUAUUUUUUUUAAAAAGGGAUAGAGAGCAUAGGUUAGAGAGAGAGAGCAUAAUUAAAAAAAUAGAAAGAGAAAUAAAGUCGAAAUUAGAGGGAGUGAGAGAGUUGAGAUUUUAGAAAAAGAGGGAGAGAGAAAGCUUAGUUUAGAGAGAGAAAAAUAGUUGAAUUUUAGAGAAAAAAUGAUAAGUUUAGAGAAAGAUAUGAGAUUAGAGUGUAAAGAAAAAUAAUACCAAUUAGUCGGCGGGUAGAGAAAAAGAAAGAAAUUAGACAUAUUAUAAUUACCCCAAUCUAUUAAUAUAAGGAUACCUACUAUUCCUUAAGGGAAUGAGAUUAAUACUUUGGGAUGAAUCUCAUGCCCAAAUAAAUUCAAUAUUAUCAACUAGAUUACUUAAUAUGCUUAGUGAAACACUGUCAUUAUUUUUUAUUUUUAUUGAAUUAUUAGAAAUCUUAAAAAGAUGGUGCGAACCAAAGACACCUUAAGGUAAUCCCUUUCCAUCUCUUAAUUUCAUUCGGUUCCUCCGCACACUAUAUAUAAUUAGGCUGUUCCAUAAGCUGUAGGUAGGAUCUUCGUACCUUUGUCUUGCUUGCCGUCUCUCCAUUCUUGUUCUAAAGUAAGGCGAUGCCACGGGAAAGAAUUCGAACCGUACUAUGAAAGGAAACAACGACAAUAAAGAACGAGAAUUGUUGUAAGAUCCUCAAAAAUAGUGCCGUAUUUGGGGUGGAGGAAUUUUGCAAAAUUUUACGAUCCCAAAGAGAGCAUGAGAUGCAUUUCAAGCCAAAGCCAAUUUCCAUAGUAUAAAAAUCUCUACCAUAACCCGAUUAAUACCGUACACUCCGCAGGCUUCUUCUUUUUUUUGUUUGAGUUGGGUUUCCCUGUUAACGGCCGUAACGGGUUUUGGGGAAUUGUUGCCUAGACCUAGACCAUCAUGGACCAGUUUUCUAAAUCUGAUUUCCCAAGACUUCGAAACUCUAAGCCAUUAGAUGCAAUUAACCGUGUUUGUCUUUGCCUGGCCCAAUAUAUUACAGCAAAAGACAAUUACUAUCCAUACGCUUACAUAUUGUCACAAAUCUCGCGUUCUAGUAUUUAUGUGAUCUAUAUUUACCUGUCUUUUUAAAUAUAUAUUUUUUUAACAUAAACUUAAAAAGAUUUUCUCAACUCUUAAAUUUAAGGAUGUAAGAUAUACAUCGCUUGUGAAAAAUAUGCAUGUAGUCUUUCGCAUACAAAAAUAUUUAUUUAUUUACAUGAAUAAUUAAUUAUACCUACGCACCAUUUAAGUAUUUAUUUAUAUUCUUUCAAUACCAAUUGGAUUUAUCUCAAAAUAUUAAGUAGCUUUCAACACCAAACAAAUGCUUAUGAGUCAGUAGUUGUAGUUGAACUGUGGCCAUGUCUUUUCUUCUUUUUUUUUUUGAGAGAGAAAGAUAGUAUGCUUUAAAAAAUAAAUUUAAUUAGAAAUAUGAAUCAAUUAGAAUUCGAACUUGAAACUUCAGGCGCCAACAACGAAAUCCUUCACAACUUGGGACCUCACAUGGCCAUGUCUCUUCUUGGCUGAGAUAGGGGACCGGUUCCAGGCAAUUUGUUUCCCGAAAGGACGAGCGUGGCUACCGGAGGUAGCUGGUGGUGGCGGCGGCGCUGCUUAAAUAUUUGGGAAUGACGGAGACUUAACGGCGAGAGUAGUGCUUUGAACGGCGCGACAAAUCGAGGUUUUCGAAGAAAGCGAAGGCAAAGGCGGAUUACUGAAGAAAGUAAAGGUUGCGAUCCAUCCAGCAGCUUUGCCACGUGGCCGAAUCAGACGGGUCGGCCUUUUCUUUAUUUUUUUAAUUAAAGGGCUCUGUCUCAUCCUGGGGGCCCACUUGUCGGUGUCACAACCGUGAUAAAUAAGCUUACUCUGAGUAGGAUUUUGGGCCUAAAAAAAAAUAAAAAGUUUGCCCCUCCACCCCUGGAAAUGUUCUUCGUGCCCAAGAAAGGGAUAGUUCGAUGCCCCAUAAAUUCACCCUUUUCUCCCUUUUAACCAGUUACUUGUGAGUGACUAUUUAGCUUUUCCUUCACAAACUGCUUAUCUAAUCUCUGAAAUACUAGUAAGACUUUUAUAUUUGAAAGUUUAUUUUUUGGCAUAGUAAGCACAGUAGGAGGUUAAAAAUAAACAUUCGAGCUCCGAAAAAUAGAAAGAAAAUUCUAAUUUGAUGCAUGCUUUCUUUCUUCUUAUAUAAAAGUAAACUAAACUGAUGAAGAUAUUUUACUAGAAACAAAAAUGUUUUUGAGUUCUUAAAUAAUUCUACCCGAAAAGAUACUUCUAUGUUAUAAUUAUUCAAAUGAAAAUCAUGUAAUUACUGUUUUCAUCUCCUGUUAGAAAAGAAAAAUGAGAAAUUUUCAGUCCAACAAUACUAAGCUAUCGAAAUGGAAUAACUGCCUCUGGACUAACAGCAUUUUUCUUUUUAUUUUAAAAUAUUAUGCCAUUUAGUCAAACAAAAACUUGCUUUAAAAAAAAUUACAUCUGGACUUAAAUAGUCCUUUUGCUCAAUUCAAACUGGUUUUGAAGAUUAGAACAAGUGAAUUACACCGAUGAAUUAGAAAGAAACAAAAGCAAUUUUAUGAUAUACAUUUAUAUAAUAAAUUGUUUAGCUUAAUAGGGACAGUGUACGUACAUUUAUUCUAAAUAAUAGAGCACAUAAUCCUGAAAAUUAGUAAGCUGGUCCAGUGCACCAAUCUGCGGCGGAUCACCAAAAUGGUUUAGAUUGAAAAAUCCAUCUCCAUCAUCUUCAUUAAUCAUAUAACCAUCGCGGCCUAUGAUGGCGUAAUCUUUCACUCCUAGCUCGCUGCUGCUGCCGCCGCCGCCGCCGCCGCCGCCAACGUUCUGGUUGUCACAUGUCCGCGGCAUGAAGUCAAAGAGCGUUUCGAAAUCGAACUCGAACUUGGGCAACUCAGAUGACAGGUUUGCCGGCUCGAAAUCAUUGGUUGUGAGCCAUUCCGCGAUAUUGCCCCUCAGCUGGGCAGCUGCAAAGCCCUGGCUCGAAUCGCGGUGCAUAUGGCUAAGCCCAAGGUUGUGAUUCAACUUGAGGUUUAGGUCGUCGAUUGUUAGUGACCUUUUGCUCAAGUGAGUAUUCCAAUGGUUCUUUAUUUCAUUGUCUGUUCGGCCCGGUAAUCUCCCGGCGAUUAGCGACCACCUAGAUCACAUAGCAGAGAGCUCAUUAUUGCUUAAGAUUUACACGUAACUAAACACAAAGGUAAGUAAUAAUAAAGAAAAUUAUAACAGGAUAAAAGAGCAACAUAAGGAAUUGAGCAUUGUGUAUGGGCUGUUGGUUUGGGCCGGUACGCAGUUAUUUUUUGGGCCGGACAAGGCAAGUGUGGGCCCCCACAAACCAAUAAUGGCCCAAAUACAAAUAAGGAAACAAUCAAGUACACUAGCCCGAGCACAACUUGUGCAGCAAGCCAACGGGACUUGCCAAUGAGGCUUCAUUGGGGAGUUCUCUCCUGACAUUUUUCCUUUAUGAAGAUAAAACUUCAGUGAGGCACCUCCUUAGGGGGGUCUAAUCAACUGUCAGUUAGUUUUCUCUCAAUCUUAAAAUAUGUUGGGUGUUUUUUAAUACUAAAAUGUAUUGUUAUAAAUUUUUUUUAAAAAAAAAUUAUAAUAUUUGAAUAGAGACAAAACUAACACGUAGUCUCGAACCGAUGACUUCUCAAUGAGGCUUCAUUGGGCUCGGCUUCUCACUAAGUUUUUUUUCGCAAGUGGGAUAUCUUAAACUGACCUGCGCCAAUAUAAAGUCUUAAGAAAUUAUUUUCUAUACUUGAUCCACGAAAUUGAAUAUGGACAAUCAGGCUAUCCAAUCUUCAUCCAAUUUCUUCUAAAACCAACUCUACCCCGAGUGAAUGUCUAUCGAAAAUUCGAAAAUAGUGAUGAUUUUAGAAAACCAAAAAAAAAAAAAAAGUCAUGGAGGAUAGAUUAUUAAGUGGUCCAUGGCUGAUGCUGCGGAUCAGGUCCAGGCAAUUUAUCCCUACGGGGUCGGAAUUGACGGCAUGGAUUAAUCCUAAAAUAGACCGGGCAAAACCGAGAAUCUUUUAGCUGUUUGAUAGAAGAGUAAAAAGACAAUGGCAUGUUCACGGGUAUGCAUGGAUGCAUGUCAGGCCAGAUCUGAGCAAUGACAUUUCUUAUUCUUAUUCUUAUUCUUAUUAUUUUUCAAAUCGUAAGACACCUACCCACCCUAACCCCCCCGCCCCCANUUUAUUCUGAAAAAAUUGACUUAGGCUGCAUAUAUUAUUGCAUUGUAUAGGUCUAAUCCAAGGAUUAAAGUGCCCAUUGGUCGUGCCAGCAAGAUAUCGGCAUUUUUCUCAAUAAAGUUCAAAAAAGUUGAUAAAAUUACAUAACAAAUAAUUGACAUAUUUUAUUGCUAAAGAAAAUAAAUAUUUCAUGCCAUUACGUGUCGGCACAUAUAUUUUUUUAUGACCAAUGCAAAUCGGCACGGCCUCAUGCCAUGGCACCUAAAUCCUCGGUAUAAUCAUACCAACUGCUACAAUGCUUUUGAGUAAAUAAGAGACUUAUUUAACAAGAUGUCUAGGCUCUCGAACAAAUCCUAAGGCUCCGUUUGGUUUGUAGGAUAAGUGGGGAAAACGAAAGUUAUCCCCGCUAUUCCGCCAAACGAGAUAAUUUUUUAGCGGUAUAAUUUAUUCCGGUCAAACCUUGCUAUUCCCGGUUAUUCCGGAAUAGCUUGAGAUUUGCUAUUCCACCAUUUUGGUGGAAUAGUGCUAUUCCAAUGCUUAAUUUCAAACUUAAUUAAAAUUAUAAAUUGAAUUAAAACUAAAUUAUAUAAAUAUAAUAUGUUAUAUAUUCUAAUACAUUAUUUUUAUUAUAAAAUUAUUAAAUGUACUAUAUUAAUACAUAUUAUUUAUAUUUAAAUAUUGUAAUAAAUUUUGUAAUAAAUUAUAUUUAAAUAUUAUAAUAAAUUAUUUUUAUUAAAUUUAAGUUUAAUUAUUUAUAAAUUUAUUAAAAAAUUUAUUUUUAUCAAAUUUAUAAAUCUAGAUAAAUUAUUUUUAUUAAUUGUUCCCACCCCUAUUUUUAUUUUAACAAUUUAAAAUUUAAAAUUUAAAUUUAAAUUUUUAAAAUUUAUAAUUUGUAAUCUCAAAUUAAAGUUUAUAAUUUUAAAUUCCAAAUUUUAACUUUUAAAUUUAAAUUUUAAUAUUUUAAAAAUUUGAAAUUUAAAAUUUGAUAUUUUAUAUUUCUCAAAUUUAAAUUUGAUCUUAAAUUUAAAGUUUGAAAUUCAAAUUUUAAAAUUUUGAAUUGAAAAUUUGAGAUUUUGAAUUUAAAAUUUUAAUUUCAAAUUUUAAAAUUUAAAAGUUAAAAUUUUAAUUUUCAAAUUAUAAAUUUAGAAUUUAAAAAUUCAAAUUCAAAUAUAAUAAGUGGGUAAUAUCAUUAUUUUUUAUUUAUAACUACCCACUUUAAUUUUUAUUCCAUCUUACCUAACCAAACGUAAUUUUUUUUUUUUCUCAGGAAUAACCUAAUUUUCAUCCAAACACAAAAUUAAUCUAAUCCUCGCUUAUACCUCAAUUUAUACCUAUCCGUGGAAUAGCCACUUUUUGCUUAUCCCCCGAACCUAACGAUACCUAAAGGUUUACCAUAUAGCUGUUACUGUAAGUGGUCUGAUUGGAGAAACAAACAAAUGAUCAAAUACCUCGAAUUACCAGAUAGCUGUUACCGUAAGUGGUCUGAUUGGAGAAACAAAAGAAUGAUCAAAUACCUCGAAAGAAUUUGGGAUGUAAGGAUUUGCUGGAGAAUUUUGUCUGCUAGGAGCAAGAAGGUUUUAAUUUAUACUAAAAUUAGUCUCGAAAAGUCAGUUUUGUUAGACAAUCAGGACAUCACUUGUUACAUGUAUGGUGAAAGACUGGCUUUCUCAUACAGACUUUGAUGCUGUUUGCCCCUAAAAACUAAUCUACUUAGAACAGUAUUUUAAUUGUGUUAUAUUCGACAGUGUUCUGGGAUAGAUAAAGGAUCCUCAUGACAUCAAACAUCACCAGAUAGAACCAAUUAAUCAAAUCUUGUUCCUAUUGUUCUCUUCUUUUUCUCUUGGUCCAUUACAUUUCUUCAAUUUCAGUGUGAAGAGUUCAUCUUGGUAACUACUUAUUACUACAGAUCAUGGUUCUGAAAAGUAAUACACAUGACAGGAGAAGUUUUGGACUUUUAAGCAUAUAACUUCCAACAAAUAUUCAAUACUUAGCAUUUGCAAUAUAUGUAUAGGUGUGAGCCAAGUAAUUCAUUAUGUAAAUUCAAGUUUGCUUUAAUUUUGUCUUUAAGCAUCAGUAUUUAAACAGAUACCGUUAAGUCAAAAGGUUUAUGCUCUGCUUGCUAUCAGCAUUAGAACUACUGUUCUAAUAUCAAUUAUGAAAUGCAGGCCAGUGGCAGAUUGGGCAAAAUCUGCCAAUGUCAGUCAAUUUCUGUUCAUUAGCAGUGCGGGAAUUUACAAGACCAGUGAUGAGGUUCCUCAUGUUGAAGGGGUAUGUGAUAUAAUUUGUUUUUUUUUGUCUUUUUUUAUUCCUUCCUUUUUUUCCCCUGUGUUUGCCUUAGUGUUUUUAUGAUGGAGCUCCCAGUCCCUCCUUUCUUUCAGCAAAAGAUUCAAUGAAAAUUAUGCCUACACUAUACACACGGUGAAUAUGUUCCAAACCUAAAGUCUCUAGUAAAUUAUUAAAAUAUGCAAUUAGGCAAUCACAUACUUUUCGUAUCAAAAUUAGGUAAACUGGGUAAGUUUGUCUACAAAUGAACAUGUUAAAUAAUAUGAAACAACCGUUAUUCUCUAAAAGCUUAAGCUGGUAAAGAAUGGUAUUUAAAUAUUUCUAAAUUUAACAUGGUGCGAUGAAGGUUAGGAGAAGAUAAAACUAGGGAUUGUUGGCUUCUCAAGCCCUAAUCCCGUUUUCAUUAAUAUAUACACACACACACACACACAAUGGCCCAAAAAAAGCAACAAAAUAAAAUAGAGUCCCAACUCAACACUCACCCUCAAGAUGGAGCAUAGAUAUUUCUCAUGCCCAUCUUGUAGACAAAAUUUUAAACAUAACACUAUUGAGCCCUUUUGUGAGAAUAUCUGCCACUUAAUCUUUAGACUUGACAAAUGGCAUGCAAAUAAUUCCCUUAUCUAGCUUUUCCUUAAUAAAGUUUCUAUCAACCUCAAUAUGCUUUGUUCGAUCAUUUCAUACAAGAUUGUGACCGAUGUUAAUUUCAGCUUUAUUAUCACAAUAUAGCAUCAAUGGUCCUUUUCCUUCUAUUCCAAUUUCGCGCAUAAACAUUUUGAGCCAUAAAAGCUCACAUACUCCAUGAGACAUAGCUGUAUAUUUUGCUUCAACACUUGAUCUAGCAACAACUGUUUGCUUCUUGCUAUGCCAAAUGACCAAAUUUCCGCCUACAAAGGUGCAGUAUCCUGAAGUCGACCGUUUAUCGUCUAGGGACCUUGCCCAAUCAGCAUCUAUGAAUGGCCAUUUCUAGAGAACAACAACCCUCGACCCGGGGAAGAUUUGAAAUACCUCAAUAUACAAUAAGCAGCCUGCAAAUGUGGUGAUCUAGGAUCAUUCAUAUAUUGACUUAAGACACCGGGAUCUAGGAUCAUUCAUAUAUUGACCUAGAACACUGAGCAUAUGCAAUAUCAGGUCAAGUGUGGGAAAGAUAGAUCAAUUUUCCGAUAAGCCUUCGAUACUUUUCUUUGUUGAUAACUUCUCUGAUCAAAUUUCCUAAACAGUGGUUAGUCUCUGUUGGUGAGUCUCUGGUUUGCACUCUAACAUUCUAGUCUCUUGAAGUAAAUCUAACAUAUUUCCUUUGAGAUAUGAAGAUGCCUUUGUCGGACCUCGCCACUUCAAUUCCCAAAAAAUACCUGAGUUUGCCAAGAUCUUUUAUUUCAUAUUCGCUAGCAAGGUACUUCUUCAAAUUUUCCACUUUAAGAGGAUCAUGUCCUGUUACAAUAAUAUCAUCAACAUGGACAAUCAAAAUAGUACUUUUGUCACCCUUAUAUUUAAUAAACAUUGUAUGAUCGACAUUACUUUGCUUAUAUCCAAAUAGUAACAUAGCUUUACUAAAUCUAUCAAACCAUGCCUUCGGUGACUGUUUCAGGCUGUAUAGUGAUUUCUUUAGUCUACACAUUUUUCCUUCAAUUUCUUGAGAUGAAAAACCAGGAGGAAUAUCCAUAUAUACUUCUUCCUUCAAAUCUCCAUGUAAGAAUGCAUUUUUGACAUCAAUAUGUUGUAGGUCCUAUCCAAAAUUAGCAGCACAAGAUAAAAGAAUUCGAAUGGAGUUCAAUUUCACCACUGGUGCAAAAGUUUCUUGAUAAUUAAUUCCAUACAUUUGAGUAAAAACUAUUGCAACUAAUUUUUCCUUAUGCCUUUCAAUAGUUCCAUCGAUCUUAUAUUUUACGCUAAGUACCUAUUUGCAAUCGACAGGUCUCUUCCCAGCAGGGUGUAAUCAAUUCCCAAGUAUUAUUUUUUUGGUUAAAGUCUUCAUUUCCUCAAUCAUGGCCUUCUUCCACUUUGGAUCUAUUAAAACUUCUUUCCAAUUUUGAGGGAUAGGCACAGAGGAUGAAGAUGAUAGAAAAGUUUUAUAGGAAUGUGACAGAGAAUUGUAAGAAACAAAAUUAGAAAUAGAAUAUCUACUAGUAGUGGUCCUAAACACACUUCCUCAAAGCAAUAGGAAUAUCAAGAUCAUCGACAACAGAUUCAUUAUUAGAAUUAGAAUGAUGGAGAAGGUGACUCACCAUGAGUAGGAAUAUCAAGAUCAUCGACAACAAAUUCAUUAUUAGAAUUAGAAUGAUGUGGAGAAGGUGACUGACCAUGAAUUGAGGAAGACUGUGAAACUAAAAUUGGAUUCGAUGUUGGCUCUUGAUCGGGUGAUAGAUGUAGAAUGGCCUUAUCUCUUCCUCCUUUUCGAGCAUAGACCUGCCAACCCUUCUCUUUAUCUUUUUCUUUUCUCUGACUUGCAUCUGCUUUCUUCUCUUUCUCACUGACUUCUUUCUCCCCCUAUGUGUCACACCCUGGGGUCCUUUUGCCAUUUCUUUUUAAGGAAAACCAGUGGAAAACGUAUAAUUGUUUUUUUAACCCCAAAGACGUGCAACAGACCCGCCACAAAUACACAAAAUUCUCUGUUCAAAUGGACAGCGUCUUCCCUGUAUUUGCACGACGUAGCACAUAGUAGAAAUGACAACCAAGGCAUACCACUCACGCUAACAACAUUCACGAUUCAUAGAGAUUAUCAUUUCUCAAGUUUCGCAUUCAUUCCUAUUAGUUAGAAGUGCCUCCCACCCGAAGGAUUUACCUUGAAACUCUAGUUUUUCGAAAAUCCAUGAAAAAUCCAAAAACCACUUUGAAAACCAUUUCUCGCAUGGGAACCUUUGUUUUAAAGUAAACAAGCUACCAUGAGGGGUAGAAAUCCAUUAUUUGCGAAAACGACGAAUAUUCCAAAAACCAUGAGCAACCAAAACUCAUAAAUACGUCAUCCAAGAAUCUGCGAAUAAAACCAUCAACUGAACCACAUAAGAACAACUACUAAUAGGUAUAGGGGGUAAGCUACACUAUCUUAUGUACACAAUAAGCACCAAAUCAGAACUGAAAUCGUAAGGUCGGGAUCUCUAUCUCACGCUAUCUUGUAUCGUCCUAACGCUCCGUCUUGAUCCUCAUUACCUAUGUCACCUGAAAAAUAGUGCGGGAUGAGAACAUGUAAACAAGUCUUCCCCUCCUAGUGGGUAUCGCAAGCCGACGAAGCUGAGCUGUACACACCGACAAAUGGAAAGGAUAAACGAGGAUAAGGAUAAGUAAAUUAGGUACAGCGACAAUGAAAUAACAGCUAUCCAUAACCACCAAGGAUACUACUACUGCAAGAUAAGGUAGUAAGGUAAAGAACAAUAAUAGUCAACAGACAUACAUGUAUAGUAGCAGUAAUAAUUAUAAUGAAACAACUGUAAAUGAUAAUAUGAGUAAUCGCUAUCAUGAUACGAAACAACAAGACAACUAUGCAUCAACCGGAAUAGAUAUCUCAAAUAUACCCAAUCACCUGCCAUAUUGGUCUAAAGACCUCAGGCUAUGCCACUCCUACUCUAUUAGGGAUGUGACCCGAGCAAAGGACCGCUGAGGUCUCCCUAACAUAUAACCUAACAAAGGACCGGUGAGCUCAUGGGUCGGAUGUACGACCACUUUUUUGGAGAAGAACAUUCUCUUGCGAUUGAUCAAACUGCUGGUGUACGUGAAAUGUACAUGAGUUAUGGCGAUCAAUGCAAUAUGCUCAAUGGCCAACAACGACAACAAGUCGAUAGAAUAAUCCACAACCAUAUCCGACCAAGUCCGGUCUAAUACUCCCAAAGGAGUGUCUCCAUGUCAUUGACCUAUCAGGUCUAUAUAACCGUGUCACCAAGUACGAAAUGUCAUCAAUGACGAAAUCAUGCAAUGAUAAUCAAUCACUGGGGUUUCUACCACUAGAUCAAUCAUGAUACUACAAAACGAAACAACCGUAGAGUUGACCAAUGAGCAUCAAGUAGUGUGCAAAAUACUGAGCAUGAAAUCAUGAUGAGCUAUGCAAUCAAAAAGAGGAAAAGGUAAGAAGUUACCGCGCAUGAGCCGCUGAAUCAACUUCGGAUCGAAGUACCCACCUGUGUCAACAGUCGCACCUAGCUCCCGAGGUGAGUAGAAUCGUCGACCGGACCUACGAUAGAUCCACCGAGUUAGGGUCCAAUCCUAUAGACUCACAACACAUCGCUCACAAACUCCAAGUCACUCGUGGAAUUGAUUUCCCAAAACCGAUCCCCAAACUCGCCGAGAAUCCCAAAAACGCACCGAUAUGCCCCCGGGAUCCACGAAACAUCCCUAAAUGCACCAACUCACACCGGGAGUCACCUGCUGUCCCAAAACACACCUAUUUGGGUGUCCGAACAGCAAACACAAGCCUCUAGGUCGACUUGAUCAUCAUCGAUCAACCAAUUACCACCGGACUUCCAGAAGUGUCCACUUUUGGCACCGGAAGCCUCCGUUGCUCUCCGGUCACCUCCGAACACACAAGGGGCCCACGGCAGCCAACCAACAAGGCUAUGUGAUGAUUUUUGGGGCAAUCAUGCAGUUGGAAACCCAUUGCGACGCGAAACCGCGUUCCACUGGCGAUUUUGCCGAGAACGCUCUGAAACCCUCCUUUUCAUUUUCACGAGGGCUUCGAAACUUGGACGACUGGUCCAGAGGGUCACACACAGUGACCACGUUCUGCCCACGGCAGCCCACACAACUAUAUUUGCAAAUAAACCCCUAAACAUUCCAAUAUUCACAAAAUAUGUGUAAUCGAGGUGUUUAGGGUCGUUACCUACAACCAUCUGCCUCCAGGACGAUGCAAGAGCAUCAUCGGAUAGGUCUCGACGUUGCGGACACCAUGCUCGCUGUCCGGAGCACGAACAACGGUCAAGGAGGGCGCCGGAGUGACAUCAAAUGUUGUGAAGUAGGUGCACCGGGAGCGACGAUGGCAUUGCAGCAAAACAGAGCCUCUCCGACAGGAUCCGAGUUGAGCAUAGCAAUCAACAAGGGUCAGGGAUUGCUGUGCUCUCUUUUCGGAGGUUUGGGGAGGCUUUGGGUGGUCGAAAAAAGCACAAAAGGCCAAAAAUGCCCUAGCUUUCAAGGUGGAAGGAAAAGUCGAUACAGUCUCAGAUGGUGAAACAGAUGCAUUUGAACCAACAUCCGGAGAAAGGCGUGUGAAGGAAAAACCAGAGAUGACAUCAAGAGAGGAAGGACUUUCGCCCAAUAAGGGAGGAUUAGAAAGAAAAUGUUGAAACAUUUGAAAAUUUGAGGUAGUGGGGGAAGAUGAGGAAGAAAAUUUGGACAGACAAGAGUAAGGAAAAACAAUUUCAACAAAAGUAACAUGGCGAGAAAUAAAAACUUUACCAGUGCUCGGAUAGAGGCAGCGAAAGCCCUUAUGUUUGUCAGAAAGACCCAAGAAAAUACAAGGAAGUGAUCGGGGAGAGAGCUUGUGAUCUGCAAUGUCCUGAACAUCGGGAUAACACAAACAUCCAAAGACUCUGAUAAGUUGCAAGUCAGGAGAAGCACAACCAUGGAGAAUGUCAUAUGGUGACCGCCCAUUUAAAACAGUAAGAGACGGAAGUCGAUUUACAAGAAAAACAGCAGUUUGAAUGGCCUCAGCCCAAAAACGAGGAGGCAAGCCAGCUUGGAAUAGUAGACUUCUAACAAUGUUAGAUAAAUGCCUAUGUUUUCUCUCAGCAAGGCCAUUUUGUUGAGGAGUGUAAGGACAAGAAAAUCGGUGAAUAAUUCCAUUUUGUGAGCAAAAACUAGAAAACUUGUCAUUUACAAAUUCCGUACCAUUGUCAGAUUGAAAAAUUUUUAUUGAGCUAUGAAAUAUAUUUUCAACCAUCUUCUUGAACUCGAAAAAUUUGUCAAAAACUUCAUGUUUAAAUUUUAAAAGAUAAAGCCAGGAAAAUCUAGAAUAAUCGUCGAUAAAAAUAACAUAAUAUUUGUAUCCAGAAACCGAGGGCACAGGUGAUUGCCAAACAUCAGAAUGAACAAUAUGAAAAGGAAAAGCAGAUUGAGAUUCUGAAUCAUGAAAUGAGAGUUUAACAUGUUUUCCCAUAUUACAAGCAUUGCAGACAGAUAAUUUCAGUGCAGAAUCAGAAACAAUUUUAUUAUUUUUAAUAAAUGUAGAAAGAACAGGAAGACUAGGAUGACCUAACCGUCUAUGCCAGACAUCUCCACUAAAUCUAGAUGCAAUAAGAGCUAGUUGUUGCUUAUUCCCUACACUUGCAAGUCUAGAAGAAAUUGGAUAAAGUGAUGUUCCCGAGCUAGGACAUCGAAGAAGCUCCUUCCCUGUUUCCUUGUCCUUCACAGAGAAACCAGUAGAGUCAAAUUCAAAAAGAGAAUUAUUAUCUUGACAGAAUUUACGCACUGAAAGUAAAUUUCUCUUAAUAGUAGGAACAACAAGAACAUUUUUUAGAGCAAAAGAGUUAGAAGAUGUAUUCAAUUGAGUUUCACCUGUCUGAGUAAUAUCAAGUAAAUUUCCAUUACCAACAAGAAUUUUUUCAUGCCCACUAUAAGGUUUAGAAGAUGAGAGAAUACCAGAGUUUGCGGUUAUAUGAUUUGAUGCUCCGGUAUCCGGAUACCAGACUUCCUCACCGGGUUCGUGAAGGUUCAUAGCAGCAAAGGUCUGAGGAACUUCAUCAGCAGCGAAAGAAUGAUUGAAGCGUUGUCUGCACUGAAGAGCAGAAUGAUUGAACUUUCCACAUAUCUGACAUUGUAUGCCGGACUUCGGAAUAUAUGGUUGUUGAUUUGGAGUGUAAGAUUGUUGAGGAUAAUUAGGUUGAGACUGUGGGUAGAUUUCAGGAGAUCCACGACCAGAAUAGUGUCUACCACGUUGUCCUCGGCCUCCACGAUAUCUACCUCCACGGCCUCCACGAUUACCACGUCCACGAUUGGCAUAAAGAGCUUCACUGUCAAUAGUGGGAAUAGCAGAGGACGUAGUCACACUAGUGCGACGCUGAACUUCUGUUUCUUCUUGCAUCAAGAGUGGACGAAGUUGUUCAAAAGUUGGCUUAUUUCUGUGUGUGUUUAGAGCACUAACAAAACCUCGAUAUUCCUCAGGUAGCCCUAGAAGAACAGUCAUGACCAAAUUAUGGUCUGACUCGAUUUCACCAAUCGCCUGAAGAGCAUUACCAAUCGUCUUGAUCUUUUGCAUGUAAUCACUCAUGCUCAUUGAGCCUUUCUUGAUGCUCCGCAAUUCAGAUUUUAGAGAAAAAGCCGUGGAAGCAGUCUUAUCAAGAAAAUAUGCCUCAAUAAUUCUCCAAGCAUCAUAUGCAGUUUUAGGUGAGCUAGAAACAACCAUAUGUAAUAUGCUAAGAGAUAAAGUGGCAUUAAUCCAUGAAAGUAUAGUAGUAUCGUUCUUUUUCCAACUCACAUAUUCAGGAUUUAUAACCUCCUUCUUAUCAGCAGUAUCGAUAGUCUGAGAAGGCACAACACUAGUUCCGUCCACAUGUUUUGUAACAUCAAAACUUUCUAGAACAUUAAGAAAGACUUGUUUCCACACAAGAUAUGUAGAAUCGGUGAGUUCUAGUGGUAUGAGAGUUUUGAUAUUAACAAUUGGCAAAUUUGAGGUAGAAGAAGACAUGUUUACUACCUUAAGAUAAGGAUCCACUACUAGAUAAGAAAGAAAGAUAAAUCGGAAUGUAGCGGAUGUGAAUAAAAAAAGAACCUAAAUUCUACCAACAUGAGAGGAACCACUUAUCACCAAAUAAGAUCGACCGCACCAAGGAAAGAACCGAGCGAUACGAGCAACCAACAGUAGGACUGUCACGCCCCGGGACCGGCGGAGGCCCUCCCGGUAGCGUACCCAGACCCGCCAUAUGUCUACACAUAUAAGGCGUCUACAAUAAGAAGCGAAAGUAAAGCAAGAGGUAGAAUAAAUAGAAAGAUGUAAAAUAACUAGCAACUAAUGAUAUCAGAGCGAGUAAAGUUCUAUCAUCUACACCAAAGUAAAGAAGUAAGGCUAGACAAUAAAAGAAACCAUAAGUAGUACACUAUCAGUCUCAAAAGUGCAAAAAUGGUGGUCUCUAGUACACUGGUGAAACCCUCAACCUCUCGCAAAAAUUAAAGAAAAUACGUCGAGAGGUAGACCACCUAAGCUCGUCUCUCUCUGAAGGGUUAACUCGAAGCGACGUCCUUCCCACGGUCCCUAGCCUCUCCCGGCGUGGAAGGCUCUGAAAGAAAACAGAAAACAGGGGGCGUGAAAACUAUAAUUUAUAGUUCCCAGUGGGCAAUUACUGACCUCAGCUCAGUGCACCACUAGGCCCCAAAAGGAACGGGUAAGUACUAUAAGCAAUAAUGAGAAUGAUAAUAAAAGAAACGGUUUGCAUUUAAGAAAGCAAAGUAAAAUGCUAAACUACUAUGUUGCACAUAAGCAAGAUGUCAAAUGGUUGUACAUCUACUACAUUCAAAUGAAGUAUGUCCAAGCAUGAAUACUAUAUCCCAACAUAGCGAACAAGUAGGUAACAUGAUCUACUAUGACAAUGUACGAAGGAUAUGCUCUAUCAUGGUAAUGAGUAUACUAUGAUGCAAUAAAUAGGACUAUCAAGUAUAAUACCUAUCUCAAUACUAUGCUAUAAGUACGUCAUAGUAAUCCAACUACUAAUCCUAUCUAGUAGUGAUUAUUCAUUCUCAACCCUGUGUCGAUUUCCAUUUCCAAUUUGAGGACUUACCAAAGGUAGUCCAGCUUGUGCCGCCUAAGUGCCUGUGGUAGCCCAACAUCCCUACUCUUGGAAUGUGUUUGUCCCACUCGACCCCGUAGGCUUCUCAAUACCGCACGAGCGAACAUAAGUCGCAUAGGCUAACUCCGGAGUGCCGGCUUGUAGGGAGCGACCCUCACAAGUAUGUGCGAAUGAGCACAAAUGGCAAGCAAGCAUAGUCCAAGUCUUAAGUACCCAAUCCUCAUGUCUCUAACAUGGUAUAGUCACUAGCAUUCCGAAGAUCUAGUUUAAGUCACAACAUGAAGUUUCAAUACUACUAGUCUUGUGCCCCUUUAUGACACAUAGACAUUUUAAUGAACAAGUAUAUCCAACUCUCUCAAUGGCACUAUCCACUAGGUUCACACAUGACCCGAGCUCGAUGCCCCUUCAUGACAUUAGCCCAAUUAUUCACAAAUAGCACAAGUCCCCGAGCCUCUUUAUGGCCUACUAAGAACCCUCAAGUUCAAUAUAGGAAUAACUUUAACUGCAUGCAAAAGAUGCUCAUUUUCACAAUGGGAUUUAUAAUUCCAAGUCUCAAUAGGAUGCCAAACAUAUGCGAGUACCACAUGUUAGUUCUCUACUACAUGGAGGUCUGAACUUUCAUUACACAUAACAUAGACAUAUUAAGCAUCCUAAAAUUCACAAUAAAUAUAUCUAACAUGAUUAUGCAUACUUUUCCAAUUAAUGAUACUUAAUUCAUCACAAAUGAGAAUUUCUCAUUGUGUGGCUAGGUCAAACCCAUCGAACCGUCGCGUGCUCCCUCGAUUCGCCGAACGAAGUUGUCCACGAGUCUCAAAAUACCCUAAAAGUAUCGAGCGAAGAGAUACACGAGCAGUACGAUCAACUAUAAGAUCAAACUUUAACAAACUUAGCAAAAGGGCUAAAACUCACCUAAUGUGUAGGAAAUCUCUCUCAAGCUCCAAAAGAGAGCUAAAUCCCUUCCAAUCCAAGCCCAAGGAAGGUUCUAAUCCAAUCAAUCUAGCCUCAAAAGCCCUAAAUCAAAAAGCCCCAAAAAUCAACC
rnacentral:lncRNA from 1 species